rnacentral:lncRNA from 1 species
CCGAUAUUUGUUUUUCUGUUUUAAUGUUUCUCUCACGGUUUGAGAGGGAUCUUCCGAACCAGUACUUCUUCUAACUCAUGUGUAGUGUCUAUUGACUCUAAGGAUAUCUCCAUCGCUCGAUAGCAUUGAUGGCCACUGCUUUCAGUCGAUUUGGUUUUGCAUGUGCUGGAUUUGCCCUCAUAUCUCCUCUCCUUAAGUUUCUGAUUUUGCAUUUUUAUUGGCUGCCAUUGGUUAAACCUUUCCUCGACUCUUCCUCUCCUUGAUCUUCAGUUUGAUUGUGUCAACUCACGGUAGUUAUAGAUGGCGACAUUUUUCUUCUGCCUUGGCUGCAGCUCUCACUAGUGGACAUGAAGACCAGAGAAGGGAGGGAGGCCCUAUUGGUUGUAAGUAGUCAAGUUGGGAUUUGGGUGUUUCGUAGGGUUGAGUUUUUAGGAUCUUUGCUUCAUGGGUUGGUUUUAUCUUUUGGGCUUUAGGGACCAUUUUAGUCAGUUUGUCCUUCCUUAAAUUAUUGUAUUAGGAGAGAAUCCUGAAAGAGAAAGAAAAGAGAAGGGCUGAUUUUCUUACUAUUUUCUCUAAAAUUGUAAAUUCAUUUUUUAAUUUCAUAUAUUUUAAAUUAAUUUUAUAAUUAUUAAAUUUUUUCAUAAAAAAUAGAGUGUAUGAUAAAAGAAAAAUAUGCUUCACAUUAUACUAUUGAUUUCAUUCUUUAAAAAAAUUGAAAAUUGAAAAAUAUUAUUAUUUUAUUAAUAAUAAAUAUUUUAAAAAAUAAAUGAUAUAAUAAUUUAAAAUUAGGGUUAAAUUAAAUAAAAAAGUCCAUUAACUUUUUUUGGGAAAAAUAGCUUGUAAAAUGAGAGACAUUUUUUUUUGGCUUAUUUUGUAAAUAAAAAAAAUAUAAACAACAAAAAGUUAUUAAUGUAAAUAUCUAAUUAACAUAUAAAUUAAAAUUUAAAAAGAAUAAAAAUAAUAUUUUUUUAUUAUUAAUUUCCCUUUUUAUUCAAGGGAGAGAAAAUAAAAAAAUAUGGUAAUAAAAUUAAUAUAAAAAUGGUAAUAAUAUUAUUAUUUUUCUUAAAUAGUUGAAAAAAUAGUAAAAAUAUUAUAAUAAACUUAUAGUUUUAAGACAAAUGAUUAACAAAUUUUGGAUUUUCUAUUUUGUAUUUUUAAAUUACAUUAUCAACUUUUAUUUUUUAAUAAUUGUAUUUUAUUAUUAACCGUGUAAUUUUUUUUUGAAUCAAAUUAUUAACCGUGUAAUUAACUUUCAUUAAGUUUAAAGCUAGUUGAUCAUUUUCAUGGCAUUAACAGAAUAUAGUUAAUUUAAUGACGGUUGUUUUUAAUUCAAAGAAAAGAAAAUAGAGUAUAAAGUUUUAAUUUUUUUUAAUUACUCCUUAUUUAAUUUUUGAUGAAUAUAAUAAAUAAAAAUUAAAAGAUUACCGAUUUAAUUUUUAUAAUUUAGAAAAAUUUAAUAGUUGAUUUAUAAUUUUAAAAAAUAUAUUAAAAUAUUUUAAUAUUUUAUAAAAUUUAUUUAUUAAUUCUCUGUAAUUUUAAUUUUUAAUUAUUAAAUAUUAUAAAAAUAUUUAAAAUAUUCAUUAUAUGAAAAAAAUUAAUUAAUAAAUAUUUUAAAAAUUUAAAAGAGUAAUUAAUAAAUUUUUUAAAUUUAUAAUAAAAUAUUUAAUAAAAAUUAAUUAAUAAAUUUUUUGAAAUGUUAAAAAUAUUUUAAUAUAUUUUUUAAAAUUAAAAGAUUAAUUCAUAAAUUUUCUCAAAAAUUUUACCGUUUUAUAUUUCUCUCUGAAGUUAAACUUGAGCAGAUCAGACCUUAAAAAAAAUUGCCACAUGCCAUAAUCCUAUUGGUCACUGCAGAGAGCUUGACCGUGCACAGUCCACACCUUCACGUUAAAAGGCAAACCAGAGACGAAACGAACACUCACACUGACAGAGGAUAGAUCCGCAAUUCGGCAUAGCCUUCUAUUUUUCCCUUAAGAAAAAAAACGAAAAAUAUGAAUCUAUUUCACAAUCAAUAAAUAAAAAAAUAAUAAUAAAGCCCCAAGUUUAAUUUUAAUUAUUAUUAUUAUUUUUUUUAAGGAGCGAUCUCUAAAUCCCUCUCUCUAAAACUCAAAAAAAUUCAAAAUCCCUCUCUAUGGCCUUUCACGCAGCUUGCCCAAUUACAUGGUUAGUGUCUUACUAUUAACACUAAACCCCUCCCUUUUAUCUUCUCUUCCUCUCUAAACCUCUAUUUCUUUCUGUUUUUCUCAUUUUUUUUCCUCAUUUUCUGGUUUUUUGUAGCCGCCGAAUUUGCUUCUGCUCGUUAGGGUUUCCGCGGGAUCUCCACAGCGAGAAAUCCAAGGCUGACUUCCUGCUUCAGGUUUCGAGAAUCGAGGAGUUUCUCAAGGAUCCUUUGGGAAUUAGGGAUUCUAACGAGUUGACUGUUCAGGUCCGUGUUCCUAAGGUAGCGCUAGUUCCUGCGACGCCUGCGUCGACGUUUGGCGUUGCUGCGGCUGGAGAUGGAGGAGGAGGAGGUGGUGGUGGAGGUGGAGGGAGUGAUUUGGGAGAAGAGGUGUCGGCGCAGAAUAAGCGUGUUGCGCUUCAGAAAAAAGCGGCAGCUGCUAUGGUUGCUGCUGAGGAUUAUGCUCGCCGGUUUGAGGCCGGUGAUAUGGCGGUAAGAUUGUUGUUUGAGUGGUCUUAUAUUUACAUGUACAAACGUAUAUGUGGUUUUAUUUUAAUUACUGGCUGUUGAGAGAUUGGCUAGUUUGUGUUUAAUUUGAGUGUAGGUGUUUAAGUCUCUUAAUGCUUGUCUUAUGAGUUUAACUUUAAAUGUGUAGGAUCUGGUGGUUGUUUCGUUUGAUUACCUUUCUAAAUUAUGGUUAAUUGAACAAUUACGUUCAUUUGAGCUUAGAAUGGUUCAUUGUUAGCUUAUUUUGUUAGGUUUGAUUUACUGUUGGCGUAAAUUUUUGCUGGUGAGUUGGAGGUAAAUAUUGAGGUUAUUUGUUGAAAUGUUUGAUUUGUGUUUAGUUAUACCGGUGCUUGAUUAAUAUGCUGGGAUGGGGAGGUAAUUUUAUUACUUGGAUAUAUAAUGCUUUUUUUUUUUUUUGGUGUGUGUGUGCAUGUGUUUGGGAAACAAAGCAUUUGGAAGCUUUAAUUACUGAAAGCAAACAAUGUAGCAGGAAUGCUGGGGGAGAAAUACCCCAGAUAAUCUCAUCAGACAAAGAAACAGCUGCUCUAGCCAUCAGAUGAGCAACUUGGUUCACUGAUUUAUUUGCGAAGGAACAUAGAAUUAAAAGAGCUCAAAAGAGCUUUACAAUCAUUAACUAUUUCGCUCAAAGAAGAAAGAUUUGCUGUUGAGAUCUGCAAAGCUUGAUUCAAAAGAAGUGAUUCAGUUUCAACAAUGUAGUUGAAACGUUUGAUUUUAUUUUAUUGGGGUUGGGGAGGGGUCAUUUGAGUGGUGGCAUUUGAAGUUUUCUAUUGCUUUAUAGAAAUGAUUGUAAUGGGAUGACAAGAGAUUUUAGGUGACAGAGGUUGGAAUUGAAAGAUUAUUUUAGAGUAUUGGUUGAUAGGGUCUACUAUUGGCAAAGAAAAGUUUAGUUGCUUCUUCUCUUCUCUAUUUUUUAUUUUUUAUUUUAAAAAUUCAUUUUCAGGUUGCCUCAAAAGAUACUAUUGGAGACGAGCAAGGUAUGUCCAACUCAAAUGUAAUGUGCCGCAUGUGCUUUUUGGGUGAAACUGAGGGAAGUGAGAGGGCAAGGAGGAUGCUUUCCUGCAAAAGUUGUGGCAAAAAGUACCAUAGAAGCUGUUUGAAAGCAUGGGCUCAACACAGGGGUAAAUUUAGUGGAUUAAUAAAUUUCCAGAGCUGCAAUAAUUUUUUAAAUGUAUCUUAUGCGGUGGAUGAUUGCAGAUUUAUUUCACUGGAGUUCAUGGACCUGUCCAUCUUGCCGAAUCUGUGAGGUACUUAUGCAUGUGAUUUCAGUUUGUUCUGAGCAAAAACUAUAUUACUGAGGUCAUACAUGUCAGAGAAAUGGCUCUUGAUCCUUCUGCAUACCAUAUCUAUUGCAAUGUUGCAACACAUCAACCAUAGUAAUUGCUGACUCCAUUUUCAUUUUUCUUGUUAUGUUAUUGUGUUCUCUAAGAUUUCACAAAAAAGAUGUCAUAUUCAUUUGCCUAGGCAAUGUUCCCACAUAGUUAGCAGCGUUCAUGUAUGUAUAUAUAUUAGAUCUAAUUAGAAGAGCUCUUAACCUUGUAUUGGUUCUGUUUUUGUCAGAUAUGCCGAAGAACUGGGGAUCCAAAUAAGUUCAUGUUUUGCAAAAGGUGUGAUGGUGCGUACCAUUGUUACUGCCAACAUCCUCCACAUAAAGUAAGAUUUUGUUGCAGGUUCCUAUUUCAUAUUUAGAAUGAAAUAGCAUUGUUAACAUUCAUUUAUGGAUGGUGCAGAAUGUGAGUUCUGGACCAUAUUUAUGCCCUAAACACACAAGGUGUCACAGUUGUGGAUCUUCUGUUCCAGGAAAUGGUCUGAGUGUGAGGUAUUGAUCACCAAUGGAUAGCCUUUGCACAUAAAAUUUAGCCUGUUCUAUAUAUUUUGGUAUUUGAAUUUUGUCGUCUUGCUUUUUGACUACCAUCAAAUGGGAAAUAACACAUGUUACCUUUAUUAUUGGAUAGUAAAUAUCUGUGUAAUUAAAGGAGAAUUCCUUGUCCCUGAUCAUUUCCUAUUAUGCUUUUGUAAGCUAGCAUAUCAGUACCAUAAUAUCAUAUUUAAUUUUGCUGUUAAGGGAUGAAUUAAAAUUUCUGACUCUGAAAUCUUCACUGUCACUAUUGUAAUGAUAAUGAUGGGUGAAUUGUUUGGUUUGUCCAAGUUUUAUACUUCUUUUUAUUUUUUUUUUCCAUUUAGAUCUCGUGUCGAUCUGGUAGGGCUACAGGACAAGUUGCUUGAUGGGAUGAGCUACAUUGAAUGUUUGUGCCUAUAGUUGAGCAGCCUAUUCUCUUCUUUAUCUUUGGCUGAUGUAUUAUUUACUCCUAAAACUUUCAGGUGGUUUCUGGGAUAUACUUGCUGCGAUGCUUGUGGAAGAUUGUUCGUGAAGGGAAAUUACUGCCCUGUUUGUUUGAAGGUAUUAUGAACCUAACAAAUAAGUUGAGUGUAGAUUAUUGUGUGCUUAUAGGCUGCUACAAUCAGUGUUGUUAAAGGCGAGAGGCGAGGUGCCAUCCCCUCGCGUCGCCUGACUGAGGCAAAGGCGCCUGCACAAAGGGGAUGCCUCAGUCCACAAAGGCGCCAGGCAAGAGGCACCAGAGGCGAUGCCUCACUGAAGCAAACCUUUUUUUUUUUUCCAACAAAAUGCUUUUAAACAACAAAAGAGAAAUUCUAGUCUCUCUUCAUCUCUUUCAAACAGCAGAUAACACUUCUUAUCUGCUGCAGCAACUAAAAUGCAAAUUUCUUACUCUUUCUUUCUCCAAAUACCAUCAACCAAAUAUGUCUCUCCUCCUCUCUCUCUUUCUCUCUUCUUCUUCUUCUUCUUUCUCCUCUCUUCUCUCCCUACUGUACCUGCAUAGCAGCAUGUCUUCUUUUUUUAAUUUUUCUCUCGUCUUCUCCUUUUUUUCCUUCUCUUUCUCGUCUUCUCGCACAGCAACAAAUCCUCUUAUUCUUUUCCUUUUUUUUUUUUUUAAAAAUUCUCUCUUCUUCUAUUGCUGCAAAUAAUAUAUGUAUUUCUUUUGAACAUGUAGUUUUUCCUUUAAAUAUGGGUGUUCAUUGAAGGGUAUAUAUAUAUAUAUAUAUAUAUAUAUUUAAAAUAUAUAACAAAAUUUUGGCUUUAUUGCCUUUUUUAAAAAGGCAUUGCCUCGCCUCUCGCCUCUCCUAUCGCUUUGGUGUCGCCUCUCGCUUUGAUAACACUGGCUACACUGAUGAUAAUAGUUAAAGGCUCUAUCAUGAGGUGGAAAAGGAAAACUCAGUUUUUCUGCAGGUUAUUGGUGUGGUACAUGGGCAUUUUUCUUGUUAAUUUGUUUGACAUGGACUUCUGUGUGAGCAUGUGCUUCUCUGUAUUAUCAUUCAUGCAUGUUUUUCUACCUCAAUGGAAUUGGUUUAAUCUUGCAGGUUUAUAGAGAUUCGGAGUCAACACCAAUGGUUUGCUGUGACAUUUGCCAGCGGUGGGUGCACUGCAGUUGUGAUGGUAUUAGGUCUGUUGCUGCCCUUGUUUAUAUUUCAUAAAUAGAGCCAUCUGGGACAUUGUUCUGAAGAUUGAUGAUGCACGUGUCUUUGGGUUUUUUUUUUUUUGUUUUAACUUAUCCAUGUGCUGUGUCUGCAGGUUACCUAUUAUUGUACAUGUUAUAUGUCAUGCUUGUUCUGAAGUGGCUGAGCAAUUGGUCUACUGUUUGCACGAAUUUUUAGUUAUAGGUUUACUAGUUAAAACUUGUUUGAUUAUGGACAAAUAUGAUACUGAAUUGUCCAGUUCUGUUGUUGACUACUUGUACUUCUGAAACAAAAAGAAUUUGGAGGAGCACGUGAAAAACAAAAAGACAACAGUUCCAGCAUAAACACAUAAGUGAAUAAAAGAUAAGAUAGAUUGAAUGAUCAACUUUCCUAAUGAUUUCUGCCACUUCUCUUGUCCUUAGAUUGGUAGGUCAAAAUUAGCUCAAACCUGUUGUGCAUAUAUUUAUUUUCAUUGAAGGGUGAGGAGGCCAUUUCAAAUUGACUGGGAAUGAAUACUUAUUAGAGCAAGGAAAGGUAUGAGCUUUAUCAACAAGUUAUUUAAUGUGGUUGAUGAGGGAUGAAAGCUAUGAAUGAGAUGGUAAAAAAUGAUGUAUUUAUUGCUUUGGAAAUUUAAUCGAAGUGGUGGAGAACAAAGUUAUAUAUGUGAAAAUAAAAUUAAGCUCCAAAUGUUGGUUAAACUUGGAAUUGUGGAACUGUUUGCUUAUAAUUUGAAAUGCAUUCCACAUUUGUGAUGUGUUCUUGGAAUGGAUGGAGCAUUUUUUUUAACUUUGCAAUUUUUUGAAGAAAAUGAACUGAGUGAAACUGGGUGGAGAUAUUAGACAGAUAUCUAGCUUUUGCAGUAUCUAUGUUCAGUAGCUUCAUGGAAUGACUUCUGAGCAUAAUACCUCUUUCUCUUUUUCUCGUGUGCAUGUGUGCUUACUUAACUGUGGGGCUAGUUGCUCUGCACAUUAGAAUGUGACAGAAUUUACUCUGAUACAGCUGUCCCUCCAAAGUAUGACAUUCUUGCAAUGUUUUGCAGCGAUGAAAAAUAUCUACAAUUUCAAGUGGAUGGAAAUCUCCAAUAUAAAUGUGCCACAUGUCGUGGAGAGUGCUACCAGGUUCUUACAAUUGGCAUUUCUUUAUCAUGUCUCUUGUUAGUUAUAUGAUUGGGGUGCGUGUGGAAGUCAUCUUCUGAAGUGUUUUUAAAUUAUACUUAAUUAAAUAUAAUUUAUAUUCCCAGGUAAAGGAUCAUGAAGAUGCUGUUCAAGAGCUUUGGAGGAGACGUGAUAAAGCUGAUCAAGGUUUAAUUGCAAGCUUGAGGGCUGCUGCAGGAUUGCCAACUCAAGAAGAUAUAUUUUCUAUUUCACUGUAUUCAGAUGAUGAGGAAAAUGGUCCGGUGAUGGUGAAGAAUGAUUUUGGACGUUCUCUAAAGCUCUCUCUCAAAGGCUUAGUUGAUAAGUCACCCAAAAAGAGCAAGGAACAUGGAAAUAAAUCUUCAAGUAAGAAAACUGCCAAGAAAAAGGGUCCUCAUAUGUCUUUACUUAGUAAGUCAGAACCACAGCAUGACUUUCAACCUUUUGGACACAUUCUGGAUGAAAACAACGAUGAUGACAGUGAUUCUCAUAAAAAGGGAGGAAACAUAUGCUCUUCUCCUGUGGCAGGAAUCAGGGAGCAUACUGAAGGAAUUUGUUCUGUUAAUCAGCCAGCAGUUUUGAAACACAAGUUUGUAGAUGAAGUGAUGGUAAGUGAUGGAGAGAAGACAUGUAGAAUUGUUAAGAUUAAGAGUAGCAAGUCUCAUGACUUGAAUAGUGGGGAUGAUGCUGAAAACCAGGCUAACAAGUUGAAAGCUGUGAAGGCAAAAAAGUUGGUUAUAAAUCUUGGUGCACGAAAAAUAAAUGUGACUAAUUCACCAAGAUCUGAUGCUUCAAGCUGCCAAAGAGAUCAAGAUUUGGCAACUUCCAAUGGUAUGUUUUCCAUUUAACAUUUGACAAAUUUUGGUAACUAGAAUAUGUGUUGUUAUGAUGGAAUUUUCAUAUUUACAUGUGCUGAGUUUUAACAUUGGUAUUUGUAAUUGCUGCUACUAGAAUCAUCAUCUUUGUGAUAAUUAAUUCGUUCUGGGUGCUAUAAUUUAUUGUCAUAUUAGUUGUUUUAUGAAUUUGAAGGAUGCUAUACCAUGAGUAUGAGUGUACCUGUAAGCACAAGUACUUGGUCUUUUUUUUUCUCCUUCAGUUCUUUUUCACUUAUUGAACAGUUUUAAUGGUAUGAUUGAAGAGUUUAUGUUAUAAUUAGUGAAUAAAUUAAAUGAUAAUUGGAGUUUAAGUAAUUUAAUAUGCCAUCCAUCCACAGAGUUUCCUCUUACAUGGCUGCAAUAAAUGUUAUGGCCACUGUGUUGAACUUUAUAGGUUCAUUUUAAUCUCAAUUUUUUGGUUUAGAUUUAGACAAGUACUUUACUGCUAUGGUAGUUCUGCUUUAGUUUUAAAAAAUCAUCUUGCUAAGAAGCCAAAAAAAGAAACAUAUACAAAGGUCAGGCGACGAUCAAUUUGAUUAUAUUUGUUCAAUACCAUGCUUUAUUUGUGUCCACAUUCCAUGUAUCUAAAAGACUUUGUUUUAUUGCUAUCUUGUUUUAGCAUAUGUCAAAUAUCUCUAUUGGGUUGAACUAUCAUCUCAUUUAUUCAAAUAAUAGCUUUUAUGCUCUUGAAAUCUGUUUUGCAGACAGUAAUGUAAAACUGAAUGAAGAGCAAGAAUUAAUCACGUUGUGUUUUGUCAUGGUCUACUAAUUGAAUGCUGCUUAGGUUUAGAUUUUUAUUUCAACUCUAUCCCUCUCCCUAUUUGGCUUAAUAUUCUAUUUUAUGGAGCAGGCAGUGAAGAUACAGGCCAACAUGGAAUGAGUGAUAGGCUUGUCGGGGAUAGGCAUGAAGGUACUACUAUAUUUGGUGAUGAUAAUGUACUUGUUUUCCAAUUCAUCAGCACAGAUAAUAUGUCCUCCUUGUGCUGCCAUUGGCUGGCAUCUAUAAAUGGAGGAUAUUAUUGUGGUUAUUUAUAAUAACUUCAUUGAUUCUUAUAUUUGCAGGUGAUACAGUUGAUCACUCUGGCCAAAUAAGAAGUUUGAAGUUUCCACGGAGAGAGGGAAAUUUUAUUAAGUUUGGAAAAGUGAAAUCUGAAACUUCCAAUUUAAAUCCCAGAUUUGACAGAGGGAGUGGUGCUGAUGGAGAUGAGGCCAUUCCUUUAGAUCAUACAAGUGUUUCAUCGGGCAAAAGAAGCAUUGAUUCAAGUAGGGUUGCAAUUGAACCAGCAGGUGAAGUCCCUGCUUUAAGAAGUGAGAAGACUUCUUCAGGGAAGCAGCCAGAAAUCAAGCCUGAGACAUAUACUGAAAGCAAUGAUGAUUCUGGUGAUACACCUAUUUUGCAAUCACUGCCAAAAGAUUCCAAAUUUUCAUUGAAGUUAAAGAUUAAAAAACAUAAUCUUCUAAACCAAUAUUCUCGAAAGCCUCCACCCGAGGAAGAAAAGAGUUCCAUAAGGGGCCAAAGAUCAAAAAGAAAGAGACCAUCAAGCUUGCUGGAAAAAACACUGUAUAAUGAAUAUGAAGAUGUCACACAAUCACAUCAAGACAGUGAGAUGAUGGAAGCUAGUUGGAUAUUAAAAAAGUUGGGAAAAGAUGCAAUUGGAAAGAGAGUUGAAGUUCAUCAACCGUUGGACAAUUCAUGGUGAGUUUUCCCUUUUUGCCCCAUCUCUGAGGAAGGGUGCUGUGAAAUAUGGGGAUGAACACAGGAACUAGAUUGUUAGGAAUUUUUGUAGUUAUGAAAAAGAUAUUAUACAUAGGAAGGUCAAAGGUGUAGACCAGGGAGCAUCUCACUCACAUCCUAGAAUUAGAACCUGUUUAGAAAUGAGGUUGAAACUGCCUUUUUAGACAAGCACCCAUUUAAUGCUGUAGGAAGUUUGAAAUAGCUAUCUGUUCUUUUGAAGUUAUUGUAUUAAAACUUGUCAAGUUUAAACCAAAGCAAGAAUUUAAAACAAUGUUUUACUCAACAACUCAAGCGACAAUGUUACACCGACCCUAAUAUAUUUUUAAUCAUAACUCAUCUAUUUCUGUUCUAAAGCAAGAAACAACCUCCUAUGGGGUGUUAGAGGUCAGUGUUCUCACACUUAUUUGCAUCUCCUUGAUUUGUGUGCAGCAUGUUCCUUUCUCCUACUUGGACAGAAUGUAUUUGCUGUUAUAUUGAGAUUAGAAUGGGUUUAUAACCCUCCAUGUCAUACUUGGAUUUUUUGUUUUAGAUGUUUGGGUUUUUUUUUCUCUUUUUGACUGUCGAUGAUGACUUCAUGAUUCAGGCAUAAGGGAGCAGUCUCCAACAUGAUUGAAGGCACUUCGACAUUGUCUGUUACUUUGGAUGACGGUAGAGUAAAAAGCUUGGAACUUGGGAAGCAAGCAGUUCGAUUUGUUCCUCAAAAGCAAAAGAGGUCAACAACAUGAAUGUAGAAUUAGUUUGCAGUUGUUCAUAUACCGAAUUUGGAGACUUCUUCCAUAUUAGAGGUGAAGCAGCAGUCUCCAUUCCUUGAGACCAAACGGAUUCAAGUUACAUUUUCUGGUUUCCAUAUGGCUGCUGAUUCUUCAUCAAAGCUUUGUCAAUGGGGCAAUUCACUCGGUUACAUGAAAUAAUCCUGGACAACCGGGGAUUAUUUCAAAGGAGGCUCUAUUUUUACUUCCUUUCCUCGUUCCCCUCGUGUAUUUGAAUGAUUAUUUGAUUUAGAAAUGUAGCCUUUUCUUUUGGAUGUUGUAUGUAGGCAUCUAGGCAAACAUGAUUGCGCUAGCGUCGUAAUCAGUGCAUAGUAAGUGGCGUUUGCCUUGUUAAUUGUAGCUAGAAACAUGGAAUUAAGGUCAGACGGUCAGGCUCUGUUAUGCUCAUUUGGUUUAUAGGAUUUGUAAGGCUCCAUGGACCAGACUUCAUUCUAGUGUUUGCCAUUAAGCUUCAAAUCCUUUUUGAAGUAAAAUCAAUCGUUGCCAUAUUUGGUUUAUCCUAGCGGCGUAUAAAUGGAGGAAAUAAACCUUUCUUCAUUUCUAUUUAAUCCUCGUAUAAAAACCUUGGAUGGUUCAGAAUUAGAUAUUAUGAUAAAUUAUAGUUAACAAAUUAAUAUGGUGGUCGUUAGUUUAGUGGUCUUUCUAAUGGUUCAAUGAUCUGAUUCUAAUUGCAGCUAUUUAAAAAAAAAANNNNNNNNNNNNNNNNNNNNNNNNNNNNNNNNNNNNNNNNNNNNNNNNNNNNNNNNNNNNNNNNNNNNNNNNNNNNNNNNNNNNNNNNNNNNNNNNNNNNNNNNNNNNNNNNNNNNNNNNNNNNNNNNNNNNNNNNNUUUUUUAAAGUUUAUUUUAUCAUUGAUACCACGUGGUUUUGGUACAAAUUCCAUAGUGCAUUCGAAUCAAACUAGAAUUCUAACUACAAUUUUAUGAACUCUUAAAAUAUUAACCUAACCGAAUUGAAAUUAAAAAAUUAAAUUUAAUUAAAAUCAAAAUAUUUAAUCAAUUAUUGACUCUGAACUAAUUAAAAUAAAAUAAAAAAAUUAUAUUUUAUAGUAUUAAUUACUUAAUUAUAUAAAUAAAAAAUAUAAUAAUAAUAAUAAAUGCAACUUUUUUUGAAAAAUAAUAAUUAUAAAAUUAGUAAAUUUUACAAAAAUAAUUAUAAAUAAUAGUUUAUUAAUAAAAUUAUAAAUAAUAGUUUAUUAAUAAAAUUAUAAAUAAUAGUUUAUUAAUAAAAUUAUAAUUAAAUAUAUUAAUUAAUACAAGUUUAGUUAUUUUGUAUCCAUAACUGAUACUUGAAUUUUUUUUUUAUAUUAUUAAUCAUUCGGUAAUCCAACUGAACGGACUUCUCCCAAAAUUAUCGAAUUCGCUUAUAACCGAAUAAUGCACGUGCCUACCCACUUUCCAGCCUCGCCGUAUAUUCGCAUCGCGAGUUUCUGAACACACUAGCAGUCGAGGACGGAGGCGGCGACGGGUUCAAACUCCCCUGUGAACGCACCCUUUCCCAGCUUCAAAGAGAAAGUUCGAAAAAGCCAUGAAUGCUCCCGAUCGCUACGAGCGAUUCGUCGUCCCAGAGGGCACUAAAAAGUAAUUUCACGAUCUCUCUCCCUCUCAGAUGUCUCUCCAAAAUCUUCUGUUUCUCUAUAACUCACCAAGUCGCCAUUUUCCUUUUGCUCUUUCUCCAUUGUGUCUUUUCCUUGUACAGGGUUUCGUAUGAAAGAGACACGAAGAUCAUAAAUGCGGCGUCGUUUACUGUAGAGAGAGAGGACCACACCAUCGGCAACAUUCUUCGCAUGUACUUAAUAGCUCCUUUUGUUUCUUAAUUUUUGUUGAUUGUAGUUAAUUGAACUCUAAUUUCUUUCCGUUUUUGUACAAAUUUUUGGUGUAAUUAGGCAGUUGCACAGAGACGAAAAUGUUCUCUUUGCAGGAUACAAGCUCCCUCACCCUCUCAAGUAUAAAAUCAUUGUUAGGGUUAGUAUUUUUUCUCUUUAAUGUAUAUUUGCAUGCAUUAAUAUAUUUGUGUUUGAUAUUUUUAGGUUUUAUUGGAAAUUGAGUGGUUAAUGGGUUUAUGGUUUAGCUUCAUCAAAAUGAAUUUUGAGUGUGUUUUGAAUGAAUUUAUAAAUGGUAUAAAGUGCUCAAUGUGAUAUUGGGUUCUCAUUUGUGUGCAAUUUAUCUCUAUAUCAUUACAGCUACUGGAUUUUGAUGUGAUUAUGGCUUCACAUUCUAAUAGAAAAUGAAUAUGUGCCUUGCAACAUAUUCAAAUUUGUAAAAAUGGGAUCUUUUUGGUUAAGCUAAUUAACAAUUUAAGUUUAGAAGCUAGUAACUUGUUGUUCAUCUAUUUUUGCAUCUACUUUUGCACAAGGGCCGGCUUGUGCCUUCUCUUCAUUGCUUUUUUUAUUUUUCAUUUUUUUUAUUGUGUAUUGAAGAAAAAAAAAACCCUUGUAUUUGGCAUAUAAAGGAGCAUCCAUUAGAGGGUAGGUCUAAUUGUUUAACAUUGCAACUUCAUGGAGGUAAGUGAGUAGCUUAUAUGAUGCAUGGGCAGAUCCUAUCAUCCUUUAGUUUAAAACUUGGGUAACUAGGAAUGUGCCAAAUGUAUUGAAGUUUCAUGCUUUAACCUAUUUGAUAUGGUUUUGUAGAUCCAUACAACUAGCCAGUCUUCGCCAAUGCAGGCAUAUAACCAGGCUAUCAAUGAUUUGGACAAGGAAUUUGACCAUUUGAAGAAUGCAUUUGAGGUAAAGCAUCUUCUUUUCCUGACCAGCCAUUAUUCCAUUGAUAGCCUGUUAUGUAACAUUUUGUUUGGUAUUCCAGACAUUCUACUUUAAGAAGUACAUUACAACUUAGUUGAUCCCAGAGUCUAUAUAACAUUUUGUUUAGUAUUUGUUCUUCUCUGUGUUCCUUUAGCAUGAUUAUUAAUCUGAGUAAAUAGUAGAAGAGCAUCACGUGAUCCUUAAUUGUAGUGUUGCAGUAUGUAGACUCAUUUUCUGGGGGAAUGUCUCAAGGUAAGAUCGGACAUACAAAAAUGUCAGCUUUUGAGGUGUCUAGUUCUGCACAAAACUUAAUUGUUUUGAAACUUAUUCAUUUGUUUUUCUUUGAGAUAGAUCCUUAUUCUCGGGAGAUAUUUUGAUGCCUUUCUUAGUUCCUAGACUCCCUUUGCCUCUUUCUUUUCUUGUUUGCCUACCUGAAGAAUGUAGCAGAAAUUGUGGUGGAUUUUUUUUCCAAAUACUCUGUGGGUGCAACCUGCUUUAAGCAGCUUUAAUGUGUUGAGUAGAUUCAAUUUAUGGAUAUAUCAUCUAGAUGCAUCUUCUGGCAUGGUUCAGCUCUGAUAGGGCUUUGCACUGUAUGCAAUAAUGCUAUAGAUUUGUCAGAUUGUCCAGAGUUGUUUGUUCCAAUAGAGGGUCUACGCCUGUUUAUAUUGGCCCCUAUAGGUAUAAUGUUUAAGAUGUUAUGUCUGAGAUUUACCGUGUGUUUGCUUUGUUAUGUAGCGAGUAGCCAUUGGCCACUUGAUGAGUUAAAUAGUAUUUUACUGAUUGAUUAUGUGGCAAACUGCAAAAUGCUUCUAUACUUAAUUUUGUCAGCAAAAUAUUAGUGGGUAGUUGGCUGGGAAAUUAGUAGAGCUUAUCUUUAUAGAAAUGGAAUUUCUUGUUGAACUUGUUAUAUUUCCCAUUAAGUCGUUGCAUCAUGGAACUUCUAACGACAAUUGUGAGUUUAAUAAAAAUGAGUUGUAUGGUGUGAUAGUUUGGUCCUAAGACUUGCACCAUUUCACAUGAUGAACACUGAUGCGACCUUCUCACGGGCAUAUUGGAAAAUAAAAUUUUAGUUUCGGGGGUCCUGUUCUGAAAAAUAAGCCUUCUUACUUGUUGGUCUGUAUUCUUGCAAUUACUUUGGCUACCUUACGCUUAGAGAUCUCAAUAUUCUGGUUUUAGACUAUUAACAAACUGGUAAAUCUUUAGAGGAUAUCGUUGUUUAGGUUGAAUAAUCUUUAGACAUGAUGAGAAGAAUUAAAAAUAAUAUGCACUUUUUAUCAUUCACAUCUUUGCUGUUGAGCGUGUAAAUAUCUGAUAAAAUUUGAUUCUGAUGUUCCCAAAAUUUCUGCUUGUAGGCUGAGCUGGCAAAAUUUUCUCGGGAUUACUAGCACAUGACGCCAGAAAAGAACCAGGGUGAAAGGACAUUCAGUUGAUCAAGCAACGAUCUGUGUUGUAUCAAGCUGAUUGCUUAAUAUUACACCUAUGUUUAUCAUCUUAAUCAGUGUUUAUUAAAUCCUUCCCUGAUAUGAACCUUGAUGUCUGCAUGCACCUGGCGUCUUCCAUGGCACUGUUUCUAUUGUUAUGCAAACCUUAAAUUUCAUUUUGAUAUCCUUUCCUUUUGUCAAUCUCCAUAGCAGAAAAUAAUGGUCUGCAACUCUUGGCAAUAUAAAAUUUGCACCAGAAUCAUCUUCUUCUUUGAAGAUGCAGAUUCAGUGCAGCUGUUUGCAUGCAAGGUCUGGAAAACGUCCUCUAUGUUUUAAGAGAUUGUCGUUUUGCUCACCAGGUUUGUAGGAGAAUCAGGCCUCCCGAAGGAUGGCAAGCUUUCACAAACUAAGAGCUCAGAAUGAAGCGCUGGUUGUUAUACCAAUUUUUUUUUAAAAAGAAAUAUAUUUAAAUUUAUCAAUUUCGGGUUUAAAUUUUAGUCUUAACAAAAUUAUUUUUCAACCAAAAUAAUGUUUUAUUAUAAAUAAGUUAUAUACUAAUCAAGUGCUGAUUCAAAUUAAUUGAAGUUGGCUGUAUAAAUUAUUAUUUUUAAAUUAAAAAUAAAAGGAAAAGUCUAGCAGAAUUUAUUUAUUUUCCCGCACGCUAUGAAGAUAGGAAUUACUUCAACUUGUAGAAAUGAAUUUGAUUUUAUCUAUUCACAAAAAGUCCAACAUGAUACACGUGUUUCUUAUUAUUAUUAUUAUUAAUUUUUUUGAAGGUUUAUCAUAUUAUGCUAAUAAAUACUAGGGUAAAUUAUAGUUUAGUCCCUCUAAUUUAAUGAAAUAUUUAUUUUAGUUUUUAUAUUUUUAAAAACCUACAAUUUAAUCUUUUAUAUUUAAAAAAACUGUAAAAUAGUCCUUAUCGUCAAAUUUUCAGUUAACCUCCCGUUUAUUUUAAUGGAAAUGACUAAACUAUUUUUUAAAUAAAAAAAAUCAAAUCAAACACUAUUUUUCACUUCCAAAUCAGCCCAUCUCACUGCUUCUCCUUAUCGAUCCUCUUCUUUCUUUUCUUCUCAUCCUUCUCCUUCUUUUUUCGAUCCUCUUAUUCCUUUUCUCCUCAUCCUUCUUCUUCUUCAUUUGUGUUUGAUUUCAUGUAAUUGGAGAAUGGUGAAUCAAAGAUUUCCCAUUAGCAAUUAAGGAAGGGUGAGGAUUGGAAUGAGGAGAAGAAGAAGGAGAGGAUUGGAGAGGGGAGGUAGUGGGAUGAGGAGAAGAAGAAUGAGAGCAGCCGUAACUAAGAAGAAGAAGAAGGAUGAAGAGAAGAAGAAGGAGAAGGAUGAGGAGAAGAAGAAGGAGAGGAUUGGGGAGAGGAGGUAGUGGGAUGGAGUGAAUAGUGUUUGGUUGAGUUUUUUUUUACUUAAAGGGUAGUCAAUUAAGGAAGGGUGAGGAUUGGAAUGAGGAGAAGAAGAAGGAGAGGAUUGGGGAGGGGAGGUAGUGGGAUGAGGAGAAGAAGAAGAAGGAGAGCAGCUGCAACUAAGAAGAAGAAGAAGAAGGAUGAUGAAGAGAAGAAGAAGGAGAAGGAUGAGUAGAAGAAGAAGGACGGGAUUGGUGAGGGGAGAUGGUGUGAUGGAGUGAAUAAUGUUUGAUUUGAUUUUUUUUAUUUAAAGUGUAGUUUAGUCAUUUUCAUUAAAAUAAACAGGAGGUUAAUUGAAAAUUUGCCGAUAGGAACUAUUUUACAGUUUUUUUAAAUGUGAAAAAUUAAAUUGUAGAUUUUUAAAAAUAUAGGAAUUAAAGUAAAUAUUUCAUUAAACUAGAGAGAUUAAACUAUAAUUUAUCCUAAAUAUUAUGUGUAUUUUAUAAAUGUAAAUAUAAAUUAAUAAAAAUUUGUUACAUUAAAACUUUAACUAAAUAAUUAAAACUACGAAUAAAUUUAAAGUGAAUAAAUGUAAUUGAUGGAAAAUAUUUUUUAAUUAAAAAAUUUAAGUUAUUUUAAAGAAAUAACUUUCACAAUUAAAAGAAAAAAGUUAUUUUUUCACUAAAUUUUAUUAACAUUAAAAAAUUUAAGUUAUUUUAAAGAAAUAACUUUCACAAUUAAAAGAAAAAAGUUAUUUUAUUAACAUGUUUACAUAUAAAUUUAUUAAUAUAUUUUAUUUUUUAAAUUAAAAUUAAAUAAUAAAAAAUAAAUUUUUUGUUGAAAAAUAUAUUUGAUAAUAAAUAUUUCUUGAAUACAAAAUUUUCAGUAAUUAAAUCCGUCUUCCUCCUCAUUCUCUCUCUAGAAUCUUCUUCGAUCAUUACAAUACAAACGCAUCCUUUUACUCUCUCCCUAAAGUCUUUGGCAACACUUGUCUCUCAAGCUCUCCAAUCUCCAGAUCCUAUCUAUGUAAGCAACUCACUUUCUGAUUGUCUCCCGAGAAAAUUUUUAAUGAACGAAGUUUCAUUCUUUCCUGUUUCAAUGCAUAUUUUGAUUGGUUGAGUUUUGAAGUAGUGAGGUAUACUCUCUGAGUGGUGAAAUACUGUUCUCUCUCUCUCUCUCUCUCUCUGUCUCUCUCUCUCUCUCUCUCCAGUUCCAGUGGUUUAAUUUUUUUUUUUUUGGGUCUCUUCCUACUGGUAUUGUUUUUUUUUUCUCUCGGAGAUCAAACAGAAGGAAUGCUAAUGGAUGUGCUCUGAUGUUGACUUGUUGCUUCAUUUCUACAUCUGGCAAUGCAGUUUUAUUUAGUAAUUAAGUACCGAUUGAUUGUCUCAUGUAGUAAUUGAAGUUUCAUUUUUUGGAUAUUUUUGUAGAAUUGAGAUUGAAGCUUUUCUUAGCAAUGGAGGUUGCACAACAGCAGCAAAGUGAACCCAUCGGUAAUUGAUUUUGUUUUUCUUUUUUUAAUUAACUUCUUAAGCAACUAAAAGCAUAUGUGUGCAAGUUAGUAAAUUGAAGUUCUUUAUAAGUUACCAGUAUGAAUAAGGAUUCUCAGCUAUUUUGUUAUUCCGUUUAAAUAUUUAAUGCGACAUUGUUGCAAAAUGCAAGCUCAAUUUGAUGAGCAAGUUGAUUGGGGAACAAAUUGGAAUGUAUUGGGAGCUGCACCUGUAAUUUAUCCGUAUGCAGGAAGUUCGGUUCAUGGUAAUGAUUUAAGGCAUACUAAACUGAGUAGUAGAAGAGAUGAUUUACUUCAUAAACCUGGUUAUGCUAAUUGUUCUUUUAGAAAUAUAUUUAACAUGCGCUUGGGCCUUGGAGAUCUUUCAAUUUGACUUGUUGAAUUCUCUCGCAAAUCUGUCCUUAUGAUCAAUUUCAAGUCCAUUUAUUGUUGGAUAAUUUUUUUUUUCUUAAUUUACAUUCUUAUGCACAAACGUUAAGCUGUUGCUCCACUGGUAAGAUUCAAGGUACAGAAUAGCUUUGGUGAGUUGAAUUGUUUUCAUUUCUUCUUUGAGCUGAAUUGGAUGACAAAUUUUGUGCUAAUUUCAAGUCUGUUAUUUUUCUUAAAAGUAAGGCGAAUGACAUAAUUUCCUCUAAAUGGAAGUGAAAUAAGACACGUAAUCUUGAACUGUUCUAUUGGUUUUGUUUCCCAAUAAUCAUAUUGUAGGGUAAAAGCAACAUUUGCUUUUGUCCCUCUUUAGUUGAAUCAUGUGAUACUCACUAGUUGUUCAUAUCCUGUAAUUUGCAGGCCAAGAAGAUGAAAAUGAAAUAGUUACUGAAAAUGCUGCUUUUGUGCAUUCUGAUCCUCCUCAAGUGGGUGAUGGUCCCCCAAAAGUUGAUACCGAGGUGGAAAUCCUACAUGAGAAGGUCACAAAACAAAUCAUUAAGGAAGGACAUGGUCAGAAGCCAUCCAAAUAUUCAACAUGCUUUUGUAAGUACCAGACAGCAUCAAGAUAGUGCCAUUUACUUUUUUGCUGACAACUUGUGCAUAUAACUCUUGACAAACAAGGAAUUUUUUACCCCCAGGUCAUGGGUGGUAAAGGCAUAUGUUCAUCCACUAUAUUGCUAGAUUUGAUAUAUAAAGUUUUUUACUCUGUUUUAAGGUAGGUCUUUUCAUGUAUAGAUGAUGGUUUCAAGACAUGUUAUCAAGUUGUUUUUUUUUUUUUUUGAAUUUUAACCCGGUUCCCUUUGUAAAUUUCCUUUGUCUAAGGUUUUGCAGUUUGCAGAAGAUUUCUAUCUUAUUUCCUGCAGUAUUAGGAAGCUAUUUGUAUUGCUUAUUGGAUAUCUUUUAUAAUGUGGAAAUUUUAUAGACAUUCCAUUGAGAGGGUUAUUCUUUAGUGAAAUAGCCAUUUCAUUUUAAGAUGAUGUUGGAUGGGCAUGCAAGUUCUCAUUAUCGGUUGUUUCUGGAUGUAGGGUGCUCCUUUUUUGCUUACGUUUGCACAUAUUUUGGAGUGUUUUGCUUUCAUGCCCUUAUUUGUGUCAACAAUAGGAUAUUAGUACUACAAGAUGAAGAGUCAUGGUUAUUUAAACAAUUAUGAGUUUAUUUGGUUUGACUGCUUAAAAUCUACUUUUUAAUUUAUAAGCCAAUUUAACAAUAAGUAGUUUAGUGUUUGGUUAAUAAGUGCUAAAAGUAACUUAUUUUGUUGAAAUAACCAGAAAGGGUUUGUAGUAUUUUUAACUGUUGAAAGUUUGAAAAACAAUGGUAGUAUUGGUCUUUCUAAAAGUUAUUAGUAUAAUAUAGUGUUUUACUUGGUCAAAGAGUAGUUUAAGUAAAUAGAUAAUCAAAAGCAAGGAUACCUUAUGACUUCUGGCUUAUUUUAAAUAACUUUGUGUAACUUGUAAGCCAGAUCAAACACUGUUUUACUUAUGAUAUUGUUAUGUGAUCUCCAGAUCUGCGAAAGAGAGGAGAAGGAAGAUAGACAGAAGGGAGGGAAAUAGAGGGAAAAGAACUAGGAGGAAGGGAUCAAGAAAAAAAAGAGGGAAAGAUGGAGAAAGAGAGAAAGAGAUAAGAUUUGUAUUUGACUGAAUUGAUGUGUCAAUUACAAUCCACUUGGGCUAUUUAUACAUCACCAAUCUCAUCUCUUUUUAUGUAGCUAACUAACUAAUAGACUCGCUAGUCACUACCCACUCUACCAUUAGUCAUAACGGAUUUUCUUCUUAUAAGUAGGUUCGAUUGACUUAUAAGCCAAAACGAGAUGCAUUCUGUAUAUGUCUAUGGUGUCACAUUGUGAUUCUAAUCAGUUGGCGAUAAUAUGAAUAGAGUAACUAGUCGUUCUGCUUUUUGUGGUUGACUUCUUCUCUUUCUUAUCUAUUGAAUUCAGAACAUGUUAAUCUUGCUGUUGUUUUUCUUAGGCUUGCACGUUUUGUUUAUGUGAAGUUCAUUAUGCUGUCUAUGGGGUACUGACCGUCCCACCUAUGUGCUAUUGUUAUGCAUGUCUCUUUGUCUUCUACAUACAUGCACAUUUUGUUUCUUGGAAGGGUCUUUUUCUUUUUUAUUUUUAAAUAAUGUGGAUUCUUCAGUGUAUCUGGAACCUAAAACUCUGUAACUGCGUGAGCACAAUAGUGCACUACAGAGCAUGGACUGAAAGCACCCAGCACAAGUUUGACGAUACAUGGCAUGAACAGCGACCAGUUGAAAUGAUCAUAGGAAAAGGUAUACAUAUUGCAUCCUUUUUUUUCUUUCAAUAUAGUUGUAUUUCUUCUUUCUUCAGAAAGGUGGCAGGAAAAUUUAGAUAUAUUUUCUUUUUCUUUCCAUUAAAUUUGUGCUGUAAUACCUUCCAUGAUUUUCUUGCACUCUAUAACAUCAAAAUAAUUAGCUGUUACCUAAAUUCUUAGUGAUCAAUGCGGAUGAAUGGGUGCCAAACUCACAAAAUAGACCAUCCACUUAUAUAUUUGUGUGGAUUUGAUUGUUUGUAAUUGACUCAAACUUGGAAGGGUUUAACAAUGCCUGGUAAAUUAUCCUACAGGAAUCUAAUUGAAGAAUGUGAUAUAGUUUUACAUUGUUAUUGAUACAUUUAUAUUAUAUUUCAUAUCCUUGUUAAGUUUAUAAUCACAUUGGUUUGUUGCUACUGUUAUACUGUUGAGUGUAUAACUAAACGUUUGUGGAUUAUGAAUAUGACAGAGAAGAAAGAAAUGAUGGGUUUAGCUAUUGGUGUUUCCAAUAUGAAGACUGGUGAACGUGCUCUUCUGCAUGUCGGCUGGGAAUUAGGUUAUGGGAAAGAAGGAAGUUUUUCUUUCCCAAAUGUUCCACCCAUGGCUGAUAUAAUAUAUGAAGUUGAGCUUAUUGGUUUUGAUGAAACCAAAGAAGUAAGUUACAACCUAAAUGAUUCCUUUUGAUAACAGUUCUAGAUCUUCAGUAUUUUGAGUUCAAAUCAUAUUGGCUUUGUUUUGUUCUUGCCAAUUGAAUGAUCUAAGGAUGUGAUGUUGUUAAGGGAAAAACUCGUGGUGACAUGACUGUAGAAGAGAGGAUUGGAGCAGCAGAUCGUAGAAAAAUGGAUGGAAAUGCUUUAUUUAAAGAGGAAAAACUUGAGGAAGCCAUGCAACAAUAUGAAAUGGUUGAACCUUAUGCCAUUGAGUAAUAAGUUUGCUUUGGAGUAGUUUUUAUGAUCUUAUUAUUUCUGUAGUGUUCUUGAUAAAUUCUAGUGGUUGUCUUCAUAUUAGGCCGUUGCAUAUUUGGGUGACGACUUUAUGUUCCAACUGUUUGGCAAAUUUCGAGACAUGGCAUUGGCAGUCAAGAACCCUUGCCACCUUAACAUGGCAGCAUGUCUGAUAAAGCUUAAGCGCUAUGAAGAAGCCAUUGGGCAAUGCAGUAUUGUGAGUAUAGUGAAUCAAUUUGUCUUUUCUGUUCACGUAUUCAAAGGAUUUGCCAAUUUUGGAAUUCUUUGUGAUAACGGUAUAAGCUAGAGAAAUACCUUCAAAAGCUUACUAUCAUUCCAUUAAAUAAAACCAUCAACAUUAAUUCCAGUCAUUCUGAUACGUUUUGAUUAGGAGUAAGAAUGGUUCCGUUAACUUACUCCAAAAUUCAAACUGAAACCGGUUUCCAAUCUGCCUGCUGUGUUUGUGGUCAGUUUUCAUUCCCUUUUCAUAUUCAAACUUUUUUCAUAUAGUCAACUAACUAAUUAAAAAUAAUUUAUUGUUAUCUUACAUGUAUCAAAACUAAUAAGAAUGUAAAAUAAUAAUUUAUCAUUCAUCAGAACUUGCAACUUAUGAUACCUCGGACCUACUUCAAAGACAGUUGCUGCUUCUUAAGAUUGGAAGUAUGAAAUGAUUUAACAUUUAAACAGGGUUUCAUUGUGCUGAUCGUUUAUGUGAUUUUCUGCUUUGAUGUUAAGUCAGAGAUUUGAAGCUGUCAACUAAAUAUUUAAUCCAUUAAUGGGUUCUCAGGUAUUAGGAGAGGAUGAAAACAAUGUCAAAGCAUUGUUCAGAAGAGGAAAGGCUAGAGCAGAACUGGGGCAAACAGAUGCCGCCCGUGAAGAUUUUCUAAAGGCUCGUAAAUAUGCACCUGAAGACAAGGCAAUUGCAAGAGAGCUGCGUUUGAUUGCUCAACAUGAGAAGGCUGUAUAUCAAAAACAAAAGGAGAUAUACAAGGGAAUUUUCGGACCACCACCAGAGCCAAAACCUAAGGCAAAGAAUUUUGUGAUACGCAUUUGGCAAUGUCUGAUUGUCAUUUGGCAAUGGCUGCGGUCGAUCUUCUACCGCCUAUUUAAGCGCGAAAGUCACAAAUCUGACUAGUUAAAAGAGUUCAAAUUGACAGAAGAAUGAUAACGAAGCAAAAUGUACUAAAGAGGAAUUGAUUUUCUUAAAUGCCAAAGGUGUUCAUAAACUUAUUUUCCAUGCUACUUUGAAUUUAUUCACUUCUGUGCCUGGAUGUGUAUGAACUUUCAAGUUUGUGAAAAAGAUGGUUCUUUAUUAUUAGAUUUGAAGAUAAACCGAUCAGUUUGUGAAUCAAAUUCAUAAAAGAGCUCUCUUUAUUUUUCUUUGCAUAUGGGUCUUAUUUACUUGCUUUGAUACAAAUUGUACAGAUAUCUUGCUUCUUUCAGGUGCUUUUCCCAAGCUAAUUGUGUUGGAACUUUCCUGGAAAUGAACUAUCUGAAGUUCAGUCCAAGAAAAUUCAAAAAAGAAGACAAAUCCAUUCAUUAAACACCACAACCCAGACGCAGAAGCUGUUCUGGUCCCAGCUAUCUACCAUGAUUGCGUAAGCAUGGAGGUCCAAGCACAGUACGCACAGACAAUUUGUUGAGAGAUAUAUACAUAAACAGCAAAUGCCAAGCUCAUCAACACUACAUCUUUCCAGUCACCCUUUUGUUUUGGACUCAUGGUAUCCUUCAACCUUCCACCAAAUUUCUCUGCACUGCCAAAGAUCUGCCUCAAAAUCAGUUGCUUUUCUUGCUUCAUUUCUUUCUUUUCUUUUGGGCUUGAAAUGUCUACCGAUUCUCCUCUUUGACAAGAAAUAACAACGAGGAUACUUGAGCAGUUUCUGGGUUUUAGUCCUUGAAUUGAACUUUUGUUCUUGUGGAGAUAAGAAUGGCCUAAUGAGAGAGUUGCCAUGGAAGGAAAGAAAAGGUUUUUUUUUAAACAAAAGUUGAAGGUGAAAUAGAGAAGAAAAGUAUUUGAAUUGAUGAAUUAUGUUGGAGAUGUUUAAUGUUUGACCAUUGUAGAAGAUAAAGCAAUUAUUGUCAGUGGAAUACAAGAAAAAUAUCUUGCUGGGAAAAUCAAAUGUUAACCUUUGAUUUUUCAGUGGAAAUGGAUAAGAUAUUACUAAAAAUCAGAACAAUUUGAUUUCGGGUCAUUUUGGAUUUGGUCUAACCAAAGGCCCANNNNNNNNNNNNNNNNNNNNNNNNNNNNNNNNNNNNNNNNNNNNNNNNNNNNNNNNNNNUUCUUUUCCUUUUUUUUUUCCCUACUUUUUGUUAAUUCUCUAGCUAUCAAGAUGACAAGAUCUUUAUGUUCAUGAUUUUGAGAUGAGAGGAGAUGAUUUUGAGAUGUUAAAGAUAUUUUAAUAGGUUAACAUAAUUAAAAUUUUUAUUAUUUAAUCUCUAUAAAUUUAUUAAUUUCUAUAAAUAUUAAUAAAAAAUUUUACAGAAAAGUGGUAAAUUUUUUAUUUCAUUAAUUAGUCGUUCAAAUCUUUUAUUAAUAUUCAAUAGUUUGUAAUUUAUAUUUAGAAGUAAAAUUAAAGUAAUAAAAGUACUUGAUUGUCAUAGAAAUUUUUUUUAACUAAAUUAAUUGUUCAAAAUUUUUGUAUUUACAAAUUGAAAUUCGAUAGAUAUUUUGUUUUAAAAUUAAAUACAAGUUAAUGUAACAAUUUUUUAUCAUCCAAUUCAAACUUAAAAGUUUUACUUUUAUUUUCGCUUUAUUUUAAAUAUAUUUAUUUAUUCAGUUUUUAUAUGAUAUAUUAUGUUAUUGUUUUAUUAAUAUUUAAUUUAUAAUGUCAAUUUAAUUUUAUGAUUCUUUUUUUUUAUGCUAUUAUGCCGAAUUAUUUAUUUAUUUUAAAUUUAUAUUUUUCUCAACUUUCAAAUCUUUGAAUUUAUGUUACUUUGUUGAAAUAUAAUAUCUAUAAAAUAAUAAAAAUUUAUUAAUAUUAUUUACAGCAUAUUUUGUCGAUAUAAAUAUAUAAAAUAAGAGAGAAUACUGGGUGAGUUGGCUUAAUAACCUCUCCGAUACUUAUUUAAGUCAAUAUGUAUAAUAAGUAAAUUAUAAAAUUAACCGUUAGAGAGAAGAGAGUUACCUAAUUAUGGAUGAUUAUAGAGAUUGUGAGCUCUUAUAAAGUUUGGUAUGAUACGAAAUCUUAGAUAAAAUAGAAUACGGAGUCCAUAUAAUAUGAAAUUUUAUCAAAUAAGUAUAAUAUUCUAAUAUGGAUGAUAUCCUAUUGUGAUUAGAUUCUACCACCUUAUUUGAAAUUAUAAGAUAUUUGAAUAAUUGAUAUAAUUUAGAUUAUCGAAAUUCAGAUUUAAUAUAUUUUAAUAUUAAUCUACAUUAGUCCUCUACAGUAGUCGAAUCUUUAGAUUCGAUACCGUAUUAUUCCCUUUAACGAACUAAAAUAUAAGUAUUUCAAUAAAUGGAUUUGUAUGGUUAAAUAAAUGUUACUUAGAGAUUUGAUAUUACAUUGGUAUUAUGAGAAGUUGCAUGGACAUCAAAUACUGAUGAGGGUGUACAAAUCGCCUAAAGGGGCAAUUAAUUUACUAAAAAGGUGCUAGUAGGCAAUUGGUUGUCUGAAAGAGCACUUUUAUGUCGCUUAGAGAUGCUCUUACAUCACUUAAGUAAUUGAUUGUCUAAAAGGUACUUUUAUGUUAUUUAGGUACACUCUUACGUCGUCUAAGCCAGCAAUUGACGUUUUUAUAUCACCUAAGUGGGUAAUUAGUUAUUUGAAAGGACACUCUUAUGUCAUUUAGGAGCGCUCUUACAUCGCCUAUGUGACCAAUAGAUUGCUUGAAAAGGCGCGUACCUAAGUAGACAAUGGAUUGCCUGAAAGGACGCUUUUACUUCGCCUAAGUGCUGAAAGGGCAUCGCCUGAAGGCACUCUUACGUUGCCUAGAGAGACUUUUACAUCGCCUGAGAGCGCUCUUACAUCGCUUAAAAGUCGUUUAGGAGCACUCUUAUGUCGUUUAAGUGGAGCAAUUGAUUACCCGAAAGAGUACUCUUAUAUCAACUUGAUACACGACUUUUACAUUACACCUGAUAACACUCUUAAACCACUUGUUGCUUGAAUUUGAAAAAACCUGAUAACACUCUUAAACCACUUAAGAAAGUAAUAGGUUGCUUGAAUUUGGAUAAAGGUUUUUUAAUAUGUGGAUAACAUAACAUGUUAAAAUUUAUCUGUAAAAUUAAUUUUUAUACAAAAUAUAAAAGCAUAAAAUUUGAAUUAGUAUUUCUUCAUGUGAUUUUAAAAUUAAUCGGAGUUUAAAUCGAAAAAUAAAUGCAAAAGUAAAAAAAUUAUUACUUAACAUUUAUUAUUAAAUAUGUGUAAACUUUACCUUACAAAAUAAUUUGUAAUAGUUUUCUUUAUUGUCAUAAAAUAAUUUGUAAUAGUUUUUUUAUACAAUAAAGAGCUCUAAACUAUAGAUUUUAUAAAAUAAAUUUAAUAAAGGACUUAUAAAAUAAAUUUAAUAAAUAACUUAUAAAAUAAAUUUAAUAAAGGAAGCGGAUGAUGAAGAAAGUAGAGUAAGAAUGUGUAAUGGAUUGAUUCGAUUUUAAACUGAAAUUGAAAAUUUGAAAAAUUGAAAAACUGAAUUCAUUAAAAAUAUUAAUCGAAACUGAACCGAAUUGAGAGAAAAAUUAAAUCAAAUCCAAUUCCAUUAAUAAAUCUUCAUUCAACAGUGGCGCUUUUCUUUUCUUGUUCUCAUUAGUUUUCUUUCAAACUAGGGUACCCAGUCAGUUUGGGUAAUCAAACAAAUAUACAGAAAAUUAAUCAAAUACUUGAAUAUAAAAUAAAAAUCAUCAAAACCCUCAAAUUAAUUCAUCAAACCCAAAAUUCAAAAUAGCGAGAAGGUGAUUCAACAAAAAUACAAAUAAUUUUAGAAAUUGAUACCCAGAAAUUGAAAAAAAAAACAAAUAUAGAUCUAGAAAUUAAACAUGCAAAGUGGGUGGGUGAUUCAACAGACCAAUAGAUUCAUAAUCAAAUAACCAAAUAUCUAAAAUCAUAGAACCAACAAAUAUUUGCAUCAAAGAGAGUAGGCGAUUUAACAAAAUAUUGAUGCUUCUUGUGCGAUGACUACCAGAGUAAGGCACGNNNNNNNNNNNNNNNNNNNNNNNNNNNNNNNNNNNNNNNNNNNNNNNNNNNNNNNNNNNNNNNNNNNNNNNNNNNNNNNNNNNNNNNNNNNNNNNNNNNNNNNNNNNNNNNNNNNNNNNNNNNNNNNNNNNNNNNNNNNNNNNNNNNNNNNNNNNNNNNNNNNNNNNNNNNNNNNNNNNNNNNNNNNNNNNNNNNNNNNNNNNNNNNNNNNNNNNNNNNNNNNNNNNNNNNNNNNNNNNNNNNNNNNNNNNNNNNNNNNNNNNNNNNNNNNNNNNNNNNNNNNNNNNNNNNNNNNNNNNNNNNNNNNNNNNNNNNNNNNNNNNNNNNNNNNNNNNNNNNNNNNNNNNNNNNNNNNNNNNNNNNNNNNNNNNNNNNNNNNNNNNNNNNNNNNNNNNNNNNNNNNNNNNNNNNNNNNNNNNNNNNNNNNNNNNNNNNNNNNNNNNNNNNNNNNNNNNNNNNNNNNNNNNNNNNNNNNNNNNNNNNNNNNNNNNNNNNNNNNNNNNNNNNNNNNNNNNNNNNNNNNNNNNNNNNNNNNNNNNNNNNNNAUUUAUGUAAAGUAUAUAGCGACGAAAUUUAAAAAUAUUGUUAUAAAAUUUGUCACUGCAGUAGCAACCUGCAAAUGUAGUCGUAAAAAGUUUUACGAACCGAGUAUCAAACAUGGAAUUACGAUCAUCGCAACCAUGCUGAGUACGCUGGUAAGCCUUUUGUGAUGAGAAUAAAAUUCUUUAGCGACGGUAAUUAUUUUGUCGCAGACACUCAAAUUUCUAAUAAAAUAUAAGUAAAAUAUAUAUUUUAUUUUAACAGAUUUUGUCACAGAAUAAAUUGCUUUAGAGACAAAAAUAUUUCCACCACAAAAGUUUAAAUUUCUAAAAUAGUGUGAGGGAUAUAUAAGUCAGGGAGAGCACUUCUUAGUUCAAACUAAAAUAUCGAAUUGAUCGAUUUUAAUUGAGUAAUUCAAUUAUUUAAAAUAUUUAAUUUAAUUAAAAUAUUUUAAUUUUUAAUUUAAUUAAAUUUAAACAUAUUAAAUAAUUGACUAAUUAAAGUAACUGAUUUUCACUACAUACUAGCCCAAGUUACUCAACCCAACUCCGCAGCCUAGCCCCUUCCCCCUUUGACCCUUCAGCCCUUCUCUUUCUUUCCCCAUCCCCGGUUCAGUCUUUCCUCUUCUGCCUAAAACUUAAAAUCUCUAAUCCCCUUCCAAAUUCCUAAUCACUCAAAUUUUUAUUUGAUCAUAAUUUUUUUUAAAUAAUAAAAAAGUGUGAAAUAUAUAAUUUUUAUAUCAUUUUUCAUUAACGGUAUUAAUAAUAUUAUUCACAUUAUAUCUUUUAAAAUAUAUCCAAUACUUUAAUAAAUAAAUUAUAAAAUUGAUUGUUAGACGAAGAUCAUAAGCAAUGUAUAGAGUGUGUAAAAUAGAAUUUAAAUAAUAUAAAAUUUUAAAUAAAAUAAAAUAUAAAAUUUUAAAUAAAAUAAAAUAUGAAAUCUUAUCAAAUAAAAAUAAUAUUAUGUUAUAGUUAGAAUUUUAAUGAUAUUCGAUGUAAUAGAAUAUUUAAAUAGUUAACGUUAUUUAAAGCAUGAAAAGUUGAAUUUAAUAUAUUUUAAUAUUAAUUUAUAUUAUAAAAUAUAUAAUUAUUAAAAUUAUAAAUUCAUAACACUUGCUUUAAAAAAAUUCUAAUACUUAUAAUUAUUAUAUAUUUUUUAUUAUAAUUUUUUAAUUAAUAUAAAUUUUAUUGUUUGAUAUUCUAUAUUAUUUUUAUUUAUUUUAUAUUUAUAUGCUUUAUUAUAUGUGUGUACGAUCCCUUCAGAUAAAGGUUUCGUCCCUAAAAAUAAUCAUUAAAAAAUAUGAAAUAAGCGUAAAAAAUAAAAAAUAAUUGUUUAUCGAUAAAUCGCUGCAGGAAUAUCGCAUUUCCUUAAAAACCAACUUUCCAUAUAUGUAGAAAAUUAUCAUUUUUAUUUAUAGAAUCUCAACUCAUACUAUAAUUAAAAAGAAAAAAAUAUAUUUUAUAGAAAUAAUUAUUAUUGUAUUUAACUAAUUAAAAUAUUUUUAUAUUUUUUUAAUUACAUUAAAAAUUCUAUUUAUUUUACUUCCGUCAAUAUAAAAGGACCAGUUAAAAUUUAAGUUUUUUUACCGUUAGUCUAUAUUGAAUAGUCUAAAUUACCCUUAUUAUUGCAUGUGGCUUUUGACUUUUUGAGCUAUCAGCUUUGUUCCUACGUAAAUAGCACACAGCUCAGCACUAAGAGUGGAUGGCUUUCCAAAAGCUACGAAGCCACCUUGCCUCUCGCCAUUGGAAUUUCGUAGGCACCAUCGACAUUAAUCUUGAGGCACUGAAAGUCUGGUCUCAUCCAUGUACCUUCCACGCCUUUGCGGUGGAGGAGCCAACUUGACCGGAAAGCUUAGAGUUAACUUCAUGAAACUGUCUUGCUUGGUUAACAGCUAGCAUCAGUAAUGUCUCAGUGGCAGUAGCCUUGGGAUCAAAAUCAGACUGGCCAUCUAAACUAGCAUCACGAUUGGUAACAUCAUUUUUCUACGGAUCGUAUGGAGUAUGAGCAUGAACAAGAGCAAAGGUAAAAGAGAACAAUAGAGCAAUGACGGCGAUGAUGAGGGAGAGGCUAGGGCGAGCUUCCAAGCCAUAUUGAAAUGAAAGGUUUCUGUCAUUGAGAUGGAAGCAUGUGAUUUAAGAAUUGUAUAUAUAAGAGUUGAUGUGAUUAAUAAAGACAGGGAGUUCUAUUUUCGCGACAGUGUGGGAUUAUAGCUCCAAACAGAGGAAAUCUCUCUUCUUUCCCUGUUGUUAUUAAUUAUAUGUAAUAUCCAAAUUGGAUGAUUAUGAUAAUAUAUAAAUAAAUUAUUAUCUAUUUUUUCACUAUAAUAAUAUAUAAAUAAAUUAUUAUAAUUCUAUUUAAUUUUAUUUUAUUUUUAAUUUUUUUUAAUAUUAAAUAAAUUUUAAUAUUUUUAAAAUGAAUAUAAUUAAAAAUUUAAUAAAAAUAUUAUUUUUUAAUAUGUGUAAAUAAAUAAAGUGAACAAAAACUAUAAAUAAAAAAGAAAAUAUUCUUAUUUUUAUUAUUUUAGGUUAUUAUAUGUCAUUGCGUCACUAUAUUAUAAAAAUAAAAAAACUGAAAUAUUAACUUUUGGACUCAACAAAUUCAGUUAUAUAUAGAAAAAAAGGGAGGAGAUCUUUGUACACUACUCAGCAAGAACCUAGAAUUUCUCCUUAGAGAAGUUACUCAAUUCUCUUACACCAAACAGAAAUCUUAGAGAAAUCAAAGAGAAAGGCAUUUCUCUUUGUUUUCCCUCUCACAAUUCAAAACUCGCUUUCUAGGAAGAUGUCGGAUUACUUACCUACAGAGGUUCUACUGGAGAUUCUGGUGAGGCUGCCUGCAAAAUCACUUGUUCGAUUCAGCUGUGUUUCAAAAUCAUGGUAUUUUCUUAUCUUUAGCCCAGAUUUCAAUUUUAUGUAUACCCAAUUCACUUCCACCAUCAACAAGGACAAGCCUGCUCAGAUAAUGAUCAGGAACUAUUCUAGGACUUAUGGGAAAGAGAUGUUUACUAUGCAUAAUGACGAUAUGUCGUUUGGUGAUUAUCAAAUACUUGAUUGUCCAUUCAAGAGUACUUAUGGUUAUCUUCUUGAUGUAAUUGGUAGCUGUAAUGGGUUAGUUUGUUUGACUGAUAGAAAUGUUCCUAUGAAUAGGGGUUGGUAUGCCACAGAAAGCCCAAUUCCAACACCAAAACCCAUUUUUCUAUGGAACCCUUCACUUGGAAUAUCCAUGAAUCUUCCUUUGAUUGGUGAUGCAUUUAAUCGUGUAGUUCUUGGGUUGGGUUUUGAUUCCAUAAAUUUUGAUUAUAAGGUUGUGAGAAUAGAGUUUUGUUAUGGGGCUGUAUGUGAGAUUGAUAUUUUCAGGUUAAGUGAGGAUUCUUGGAGGAGGUUUGGAGGUAAAAGAAAAGUAGGCUUCCCUUCUUACUAUGACAUGAGAUCACCUCAGGCUUUUGUGAAUGGAAAUAUCAAUUGGAUUGGAUGUUAUAUAGAGGAGGACGAAGAAGAGAUUACUUGUAAAACAUUGAUUGUAGCAACGUUUGAUGUGGGCAAAGAAGUAUUUGGAGACCUAGAAGUGCCAAAGGAGUUAGAAACUGGUGGUGAUGAUGAGUUUCAGCUGUCACUUGUGGUACUCCAUAAAUCUCUUUCUUUGAUACGAUAUGAAGAUGGAGAAUACCCGUGCUUUAAUCGAUGUUGCAUAUGGAUGAUGCACGAAUAUGGCGUGGCAGAAUCUUGGACCAAAAUGUAUACCAUUUCUCCAUACAAUGGUUUCUCAAGGACAUUGAACAUAAGGACAAAUGGAGAGCUUCUGCUUGUGACGAGUAACGGAGGGCUGGUUUCAUUUGACCCUGAAAGCAGAAGCAUUAGACAGCUAAAAGUUUAUGGAGAACAAUUCUCUUUUGUUGUGGGUACUUACAUGGAGAGUCUUGUGCUAUCAGAAGGCUUCAGUAGGAUCUUGUUGCAAGCAGCUUUUUCGAAGGCAACUCCUCAUGACAAGGCAAGAGGGAACUACAGUGUUAUAAAGCCCAGCAGGCUAAAGAGAAACCGGAUCUGGAAGAAUAGCAACAACCAGCGGGAUUAAUAUAUUGUACUUUGUCUUUACACCUUUUCUUUAGUAGAGCAUUGUCUGAGAACUGGUUUUAAUACCAAACUCAAUUAUCUUGUUUGUGUACUGGUUACUAUCUAUUAUCAGCAAUGCAAUUGGCUAUGUAGAACUAAUUUGUCUUUUCAGUGAAAAUUUUAUUUUCAUUGCAUCCUUUGAUGUCUUGUUAUGCCAUUAACCUUAAAAUCUCUAGUAUCUGAGUGCAUAAUAGUUUUUAUUAAGUUGACAAGUACUGGCUUGUGUAGGCAAUGGAUGCAAAAUGGGAACGAAAAACAAUCCUGCAGCUAUUAUUAGUGCAAUGAAUAUUUAGAUUUUCAGAAUCCUUUUCAGGCAAUAAUUAGUUUAUCUUUCAACUUAAGAGUGAUUGUGAACUUUCGAAUGCCUAAAAGAGAGUUGACUAUAUGUGAGAGAACUUCGAGUUGUGCUGCUCUAAGGUGAGUAGUACUUAGCAAUGUGGUUUUUCAAUCUUGCUAAUCAAGAAGCACACAGUGUUCAAGUGUUGAUUUCAAACCUAUCUCCUGGUUUACAUUCUAUCUUCUUAUUUCAGCUGAAAUGGAUGUGAAAGAACAUUUCAGCUGAAACUUGUUAUUUUCAUCACCUUUUUCAUUAUUUUUUUCUUGCACAAUGACUUGCCGGUAUAGUUUGAGCAAAAUUGCUUUAUUCUUAAGUUUCUUGUGAUGGUGAGUGAUUAUCUUUAAUAUGCACAGAUGGAUAGAUGCAUAUUCUGUGUGUGGAAAUAAAUUGCAAUUGGUGUUUUAUGUUCUUCAUCAUCUUCUUCUUUACUAAGAUGCCAUGCAUAAAGCUUGUGUGAAUCAUCUUACCUUAUCAUCUGAACAUGCCACUGAUGAACGCUGUUUUCCUUUAUCCUUUUGUUUGUUCUAUGCUCUCUUCACAAUUCUUCAAUAUCUGCACUUUAUUUGAUGAAUUAUGGUAUAUACUAACUCAAAUGAAAGCAACUAAUAAUGAGUGUUAGAAUAAGUGAUUCGAUACUAUUCUUGGCAGGUCGAGAGUUAGAUUCUCAUGAAUCAUGAAUAGAGCAAAUACUUGCAGGGGACAAUUUAUCUUCGGUAUGUAAACUACCUGUAAUUAUACUAUAAAAAGUAGAUCUCACCAUGAUCAUGAAAAAUAUCUACUCAUUAUACAUAUAAUAAUUAAUAAUAUAGAAUAAUUUUUCUAAUAUAUAUUCACUAUAGACUUUCGAUGUUGUUUAAUAAAGAUUACCGGCAAUUUCAUUCAAGUUGAAGGAUUGCGAAUCUACGACUUGAAAUUAGGGUUAUCGGAUGAUUAACCUGAAAAAAAAAAAGCGAAUUAGACAAAUCUUUUUUAUCAAUAAGCUCAAAUCGAUCAAACAAUCCUUAAAAAAAAAAAUAACUAUGAAAUAUUUCAAAUGUUAUUAAAAGAUACUUUUAUGUUUAUAUUAUAUUAAAAAAAAUAAAAAAUCAAACCCAUUUCUUUUGCGAUAUUACCAUUACUUCUUUAAAAAAAAGAAGUUCACAACUCGUAUGCUUGUCCAUGACUCGUAUGCCUGCUUUUUCUCCGAGAAAAGUAGUUUACUAUUCGUGUAUUUUCUUCUCCGCAGAACUUGUUUCAUUCGACUGUAUUCUCGACUAUAAUAUGAUUCUAUUAAAAAUGAUUUUGAUCACUCUAAUUUUAAUUGAUUUAUAUACUAUAUACAUAGGGAAUAAUUCUCUUAAUAGACUCAAAUUAAGAGUGAAUAAUCAAAGAAUUUAAAAUGACCAUCACAUUUAACCUAAUAGCCCCAAUUCUUUGAAGACUCCAUAGAUAAAUUAGCCCUAAUCCCCAAUGUCCUUUGACUUAUCCUGUGUAUCUCAUCUCUACAAGGUCCGCCUAAUGUUCCCUAUUGAAAAUCGUCCAUCAUUGUGGGCCCAUCUCAAUCCAACGGCUAUAAUCAUAUCAUCCGUAACAUCAUCAACCGUCAAACAGUCUCCUAAUGACUUACACGUGUCAUAAAGCCGGUAUUUACAUGACGUCAAAAGUCUGCAAUACUAGAACCGUUUCCGGUUUUCCCUUUUUUUUAUCUCUAUUAUACGCGCAGAGUUGAAUAAUAAUCAGUACGCGCCAUUUGUGUGCAUUGAUGUACGAUAACGGCUAUCUGUGAUGCGAUACGGCUCAGAUUCGGAGUGGUUUUUCUUUCUGUACGUUACAGAGUGGAGGAUGGAUUUGAGCUCUUAUUUAGUAAAUGCAAACGCAGAUGCCAAUCUUGAGCUGGCCCAAUAGUAGAAACUUCUUUAUAUAUUUUUUGUUUUUUCGCCAGAAACUUCUCUGUAUCGUUCAAAGAAUACAGAACGUGGAGACUGUACUUGCCAAUUAUAUGUGUACACGUCAUUGUAAAUUGAUCUGCCUAUGGGCCAAAUUUGGAAACCUCCAUCAUUGUUUUUAUUUUUACUUCCAUAUUUGUUUUAAUUUUUAUGGAAAGUAAAAUCUCCCUUGAGAUUUGGAUAAUUAAAUUUUUAAAAUCAAAAGUUACAUCAUUUAUAUUUUGAUAAAUUAUAUUUUAAUUUUUAAAUUUAACAUUAUUAAUAAAUUUAUUUUUAUAUUUUUAAAAUUAAAUUCUUAAAUAUAUAUAUAUAUAGUUAUUAUUUAUAAUUUCGUUAAUAAAUUAAUUAACAGGAAAAUAAAUAUUUUAAAUAUUUAAAAUAUACUCGAAACACUUAAAUUCUUUUUAAUGUAAGUGAAAUUUUUAUAUUAUUUAAACUAUACUUUAAUUUUUAAAUUUUAGUAUAAUUGAUAGAUUAAUAUUUAUAUUUUUAAAAUUAAAUUUUUAAAUUUUUUUAAAUUUAAUCCGUCUAAAAUUAUAAUUAUUCAAUCUAUUAUAAUAUUAAUUCAAAAUUAGAAGAGAGUUAAAUUUAUUCUGAAAGUAUAAUUUCUUCCUAAAAUACACUUUAUAAAAUCUUAAAAUUUAUUUAAAAGUUAUUCAAUAUCACUUAAAAAUAGCUAAAAUUAUAAAUAUUUUUUUAAAAUUUUGAAGGUAGAAGUAUUGAAAUAUUUUAAUAAAUAAAAGUUAAAGAAUAAAAAAUAUUAAAAAUUAAUUAAAUAAGAUAUUAUAGAUAAGUUAAUGGAGAUUUAAGUGUUCUUUUAAAUAAAAAAUGAACGAUCAAAAUGUUUAGAUUAUAAUAAAGGAGAAUAAACUGAUUAUAGAUGAAUUUAAGUGUAUAAUUUUAAAAAUUUAGAGAUUUAUCCAUUAAUUAUAUUAAAAUUCAAGAACUCAUUAUAAAUUUAAAAAAAAAUAAUAAAGAUAUUUUUAUAAUUUUUAACCUUAAAAAAUAGUAGAAAAAUCUUUAAUUUGAAUGAACGGAUUUUAGAGGAAUUUAAAUGUUUAAUUUUAAAAAUUAUAAAAAUUAAUUCGUUAAUUAUAACGGAAUUCAAGAAUUAAAAGUAUAAUUUUUCUAUAUAUUUUAUUUAAAUUAUUAUGAUUAUUAUUUCAUCAAAAGCCACAAUACACAUGUACAAUGAGUCAUGAUUAGAUUGCGGGUCAAAUUAUUUAUCGGAGUUGUUAUUUGUGGAUAUAUAUUAAUCUCCAUAUUUUCAGUUUAAAUUAAUUGAAUAACUAAAAUUUUUAAACUUAUUGAAAAAAAAUUAUUAUCCGAACAAAAAAAAAAGCUUAAUUUAAUUUGAAUGGUUUCAAAAGUAGUCUACUUUUUUUUUUUUUAAAUUUGUGUUGAACACAACUUUUUAUUUUUAUUUUUUUACUUGAGAAUGUAAAAUCUAGAUUAUGUUAAAAUCGUAUUUUGUGGUAUUCCGUGGCGUUGUUAACAAAUAAUAAAAUUUUUUAAAUACUAUAAGAAAAUAUUAAUGUGAUAAAUAAAAUAUAAUUAUUAAUUAAAAUAAUAAAAAUAUAAAAAAAUAUUAUAUGAUUUCGCUUAUUUUUAUUUUAAAGUUUGUAAUUCAAUUUAUGUUUAAGUAUAAUGAAGUGAGAUCCAGUAGGGUGUUUAGAUAUGUAUAUCUAAAUAGAAACUCAAUUUGAUGGGUUGAUCAUCGAUCUGUGAUUGAUUUUAUAAGGUCCUUCCACAUUUGAUGUUUGAGAAAAGAGAUCUGUAAAAUAUGAGAAGACGGUUAAAGAUCCAUCGGAAAUGUCGCGCAUAGACUUUCUGAUGCUCAAGUCAGAUCGGAAACCUUUUAAUUGUGUCCAGAGAAAUAAAACAAAGAGGAGAAUAGAAGAGAAAGCUCCCUAAAGAGGAAGGAUGGAUUUUAGGAUUUCUCUCCGUGUGUCGGCGAAAGAGAGAGUCCAUCCUUUUGGUUAGUUCAGUGAGAUAUAUAUAUAUAUAUCUCUAAUUGCUCUGACGCUUCUGGUGUGUGUCCCCAUUAGACGAGGCAGAGAUACUUUUAUGCAGGUGUGUAAUGCAGUACAUUAAUGAUGGGCAACAUGACAGUAAAUACAAUGCCAACUAGUUUGUACGUUCCGCACACGCAUUUAUGAUCCUGGAAAAUGAUCAAUGUGUAGGAGGUCGGAUAGUGCUCGACCUUUAAUGAGGUCGGUGAUCUCCAUAUAUGAUUUUCAUUUGCAGUACAUGCCUUGGAGUUGCCAGUCUAUCCGUUUCGAUCUUUGAUAAAAUUAGGGGUGUUGAUGGUCGGAUCUUUAUACUCUAUCCCGAUCUGACCAGAUGAAAAAAUUCAUACGAUCUUUCUAAAUUCCGUAUACACGUGUCAUAAUCUUAAUAAAUUUAUUUUCUAUAUAUUAUCAAAAUAAUAACUCCUAAUAUGAUUUCAACAUUUAAAGACAUCUAGAAAUUACUACUAUUUAUGUAAUGCAUAAUAUUAUGAUAUAUUAUUCAUAGGCCCUCGAUAAAAAAAUCAAUCAAAUCAUACCUUACUUUUUCAUAUAUUUUUCAAAAAAACUAAAAGAAAGCAAAAACAGGAAGCAUGUUCUCGGAUAUUUAUAAGGUGCAUGCUGACUUUGUUUAGAGUUGUGCACAAUGAGUUUNNNNNNNNNNNNNNNNNNNNNNNNNNNNNNNNNNNNNNNNNNNNNNNNNUAAAAAAACACUUUAUUGGUGUAAGAUCAUCUCAAUUCAUAUUUGUAUUCAGGUGUAUACUCAUAUAAAGUUGAUAUUUUUAAUAGCAUUCAGAACCCUUCGAUUCAAAACAGCACAUAAAUUGGUUCAGGAAAAAAGUCCAUAAUUCAUUUCAAUUUAUAUAAAAUCUGAAAUUAGUGAAACAAUUAAUUAGUCUGAAUUUACAAAAAAAAUUAAUUAAUCUGAAAUUACAUGUUUAACUUAAUUUUUUAAAGAAUUUUUUCUCUCUAAUUAUUAUUGGGUCUAUUAAAAUUCUAUUAAAUAUAAAAAAUAUAAAUGCUUCAUUUCUUAAGAAAAAAUUUAAAUAGAUUUUUACAUAAUCGCGCUUGAUUUUUUUUUUAAAUAAAAAAUUUUAAAUUAAAAUAAUAAAAUUUUUUAUAUUUUAAAAAAAUUAAGAGUAAAUAAAUCAAUUGAAUUGAAUUAUUGUGAAAUAUAUAUUUGAUGUGGUUGUGCCGCGAUUAGUCAACUUGCAACAAAAAGAACAUGAGGUGGUUAGCGCUUAUGACAGUAAAUUCAAUGCUCAAAUUAAUAAAUUAAAGACAAGUGCAAAUGUAAGGAAUUGCUUAUAACUCAAGAGUAGUUGUGUAAAAAUGGGGUAUCUUGAUCUCUGCGAUCAUUAGUUUUUAUACUGUAAAAAGAUGAAGUUAAUUAUAGUAUUUCAUAGAAAUUCAAUUGGUACCGACUAAUUGAUAGAGUUAAUUAUAACAUUUCAUAGAAAUUCAAUUGGUACCGACUAAUUGAUAGGAGAUUUCACUGAUUAAUUGAUUGGAAAUUCCGUGAUUAUAGGCGUAAUGGGGAAUUGUUGGAUUAUACUUGCAAACAGUAACUUUAUAUGAAGACUCGAUUUAUUCAGAAGAGGGUGAGUCUUAAUGAAGAAUCGGGUACCACGGUGUUCGGGUCUUCAUUUCCAUGGGUGGAACCGCGUAUCGGCUUAUCAAACUCUUGUCACGUGACUCUAUCUUAUGGUGAUAGCUUAUAACUUACUUUGGUCGAUUGUUAUGUUACAUCAGAGGUCCCCCACUGGUCUUCGAUUUUUCAGAUUCGAAAAUGCCAAUCGUUUUCACAAUCUGGGGUAUGUGGCUAAUUUAGAUUGACCUUUCUCUGCUCACAUCACUUUGCCUCCUCCUGCCCAUAAAUGAUGACUGCCCUAUUUCUCGAACCACAUUUAAAACUUACCGGCGAAGCCGCCAUAUAAGAGCCCUUCUUCUCCUCCAAACAUCAUUUUUGCUCACAACUUAUAUCUUUGCUUUAAAAAAGGCUCGACUGAUAUCUUUACUUUAAAAAAGACUCGACCAUUCCUCUUUUCUGUUUAUAGACUGCCCUACUAAAGGUAACUCCUAUUUGCUUUUUCUCUCAUAGCAAUGGAUAAGAAUACUUCUUCCUUUUGAGGAGCGCCGUUUUAUCUUAGCAGAGCCAUCUCCAGGCGAGCCAGGCUCAAGGUCCUCACCCGCCUAGCCUUUCCAGCCUUAGGAAAAGCACCUCACUGGCUAGCGAGCACGAUAUUUUUCUUUCCAACUUCUUUUGUAUUUCAAACUGCCUUCCUUACUCAGUUUUUGCUCUAUGCAGAUAUGGCCAAGUCAUAAAACAAGUUCGCCCAAGGUGGCACACGCCGCUCACAAGGGCAAAACAGUUGCUGGAACGACUGAUCCACCUCUUAAAUGGGCUCAUCAUACUGAGGAGAUUAUCAUGCUUCCUCCUCCUCUCCCUGCUACCGAGGCACCAGGCCUCACUCAACCCGAGUCUUCCACGAGGGGCGAACCUAAAGUUGUUACUGCCCAUGCCAAAACUUCACAAGGAGAGGCUAAAGCGAAAGUCGCAUGGCCUUGGGGCAUCUAGCUCCUAGCACUGGCCCUGACCUGGACACCUCUCUUCUCGAGGAGCCCUGGUUGUCUGUCUUGAUAGCUAAGAAUGCAUUAUGGCCUAGAGACCAUCAUCGCCUAAAUGAUGUCGAGAUAAACGAUCUCUAUGACAACAUCAUCCACUCUAUGAUGAAGAGUCCCCUAUGCACAUACAUGGCCAAGGAGCAUGAUAAGACUCUAAAGUGAGAAUUUGGGGCCCAAGAGACAGAUAAAGGUCUCCUAUAAGAAGAAUACUCGAGGCUAAAGGCUCAGGUUGAGGAAGUAGAGGGUACAAUGAAGGAGACACUAGAGUAGGUGGACAAGCUGUAGACGGACUUGGACUAGGAAAAUACUUCAAACUCAGCCCUUGAGGAUCAGGGAAAAGUAGCUGAGGAUCAAUUGGCCAUGCUUCAGCGCCAGGUCUAGGAGAUGCAGUCUCAAGUUGAGGAGAACCGAGCCGCCUCUACCAGGAUCACUAAAUUAGAAGCAAAACUUCAAGAGACGGUGGCCCGACAAAGAGAGAUAUUCAUUGAGGGCCAAGACUCCGUAAAGAAGGAGCUGGUGAAAUGGUUCCCCUUUGAAGAUUUUAUCUAGAUAGACGACAUCUUUCUUGAGGAGGAGAGAGAUGAGGACGAGCAAGAGGAGGAGGGAGAAGUCGAGGACAAUCCCAUCGAUCGAGUCUCUGCAAACAACAUGGUAAAUGUAGAAAAUUCUAAUGUAAUGAAGACUCAGGAGGGGGAACCUGAAGAUCCUCCUCCUAUGUAAUCUUCCAUGAUUUUAAUGACAAAUAUUUUGUCACUAUUUUCACUAAGUAUUUAUAUGCUCUGCACUCGUUCAUAAACCUCAUCCAACCAUCAUUAAAUAAAAUAAUCUCUUUUAAAAAAUUGUUAAGAGACUAACACCCGGUCACUGCCGUACAGUAAAUAACUUGGAAAAUUUUACAAAAAUGGGCACAACACUCAGACAUGUGGCCUGGCGGGUGCCUGUUUUAUGGCUUGGGCAUGAAAUGCCUUAGAAAAUUAUAAGUGGAGAAAACACCCGAUCAUGUGGGCUAGCGAAUACUCGCCUUGUUGUCUGGGCAUAAAAAUACCUUAGAAACUUUUUAUGUAAUGGGACUAACACUUAGAUUAUAGGCCAGGCAGAGACCUGCCUUGUGGCUGCAUGGUCAUCCUAAAGAUUGCCAGGUGACUUUUGAGAUCUAUUGUUCCAUCAUAUUUGUUCAAGCUUGGCAGCUUGAACUUGGUUAGAAAAGUUUCUACUAAGAUCUCUUCUGACAAGAGCGAGGCAUCAUGCAAGCCAUAGUCCUCCUCUUGCUCCUUCUGGUACCUUUGCACGACCCAAACCAUCAUCUAGUCAACGUUCUUCAGAAUCUCAUCCGACAGUUCUUCAUCCUCCAGUUUGGCCUUCCCUUUGGACUACGCUUGGAUCACUUCUAUCCGAAUCCUCGAGGUAUCAAUAGAAUCAUACUCCUUACCCUAGGGGCUGUAAAUGAAGUCCCCUCUCGAGCCUUAUUCUGCUCAAAAGUGGCCUGCAGCCUUUUAAUGUAUUAGAGCAUUUGUUCGUUAUUCAGAUUAUUGAAAUCUGCUUCAUUGAUCAUUGACUGGGUGUUUUAUCCACUACCAGGAGUGGAGGAAAUGAUUACACCCUUAUUAGUAGUAGCCUUAGCAACAGCUCCUGAAUUGUCAGCCAUUUUGAGAAAGGAAGAAAAGAAAGAUUUCUUUUUAAGAGAAAGUGAAUAAGAGACCAGUUUUAAUCCAAAUGAAUAGAGAGAAUUCAAUGGAUAUCCCAUUAAUGGAACCAAAUGAUGUGGCCAAAAUGAAACUGUGCACAAUUGGUCAACUUGCAACAAAGAGAACGUGAGAUGGUUGGUGUAUAUGGCAACCACUCCGACGCUCAAGUCAGUAAACUGAAGAUAAGGGCGAAUGUAAGGAAUUGCUUAAAACUCAAGAGUAAUUGUGUAAAAAUUGCGUAUCUUGAUUUUUGCGGUCAUUAAUUUUUAUACUGUAAAAAUAUGGAGUUAAUUAUAGUAUUUCUUGAAAAUUCUAAUCGGUAAAAAAUCCCACAAGCUAAUUGAUUGAGGAUCCCAUGGUUAUAGGUGUAAUAGGGAUCUGCUGGAUUGUACCUGCUAACGGUAAUUUUAUAUAAAAAUUCGACAUGUUUAGGAGAGUAUGAGUCUUGAUGAAGAACCGGGUACCAUGGUAUCCGAGUCUUCCUUUCCACAGGUGGGACCGCGUAUCGGCUUAUCAGACUCUUGUCACGUGAUCUUGUCUUAUGGUGACAGUUCGUGACUUAUUUCGAGCGAUUAUUAUGUUACACCAUAAUUUAAUUUAAAACAAAAGAUAUGACUCGAAGAAUGAAUGAAAUAAAUUAAAGGCAAGAUUCAAAUAAAUUUAAUAUGAUAUUAGAGUUUCUCCAUCUGAUAUUGAGUCUCCUGUAAAUAUUUCAGGCUCUAAUUUAAUCCCAAAUGAAAUUAGUAUAAAACACCAUUUACUCAUUUACUAUUAGCAUAAAAUAAACAUAAUUUAAGUCUCAAUAAUUUCAUUUUCUUUUCAAUAUAUAUAUAUAUAUAUAUAUAUAUAUAUAUAUAUAUAUAUAUAUAUAUAUAUAUAACAGCUGAGCAAUUUACUUUAAGUUGUUAUUUCCAAAUUUAUUUUCCAUUUUCCUCUAAAAGUUAUCGUGGACUUAGAUUGAGACUUAAUAUAUUAAAAAUUAUUAAAUACCAAUUAUUUGAAAUAUUUCCUAUAAAUAUUGAAAUUAAAAAAAUUAAAAAAAAGAGAUUAAAACCAUAAUUUCAAAUAGGAUACUUUGUAGAUUAUGAAGGAGUGGGAAAAAAAUGUCGAAUAUUCUAUUUAAGUUAUUAUUAAAAAAAUUAAUAAUGAAACAUAAAAAACAUAAAUAGAUCCACAAAAGUUGCUGUGGAAUUAUUACAUAAAUACGUCAAAUGUCAUUACUUUCCAAAAGUCAGUCUACUCUUAUUGUGUUUUUUAUUAAUGAUUUUUGUUUUUAAAUGAUAUUCAUACUUGUGAAGUCUCGGUCUGCUUAAAAUAAUGAGACUUCAGAUCUGUAAUCGAACCACUUGAGUAAAAUAACAAUUCUCUACAUCAAAGCAAUGCAUACUUCACUUUCUAUAUAAGGCUUUACAGCACUCCUUGAUUAGCAUUAAGUAUACAAAAACCUUCCAAUAGUUUUAAGUCUUUUGAGUGAAACAAUGGCCAAAGUGGAAAAUGCUCAGCCUCCACAGUUGGAAAAUCAACAAGGAGGAAACCUUCAAGCGCCAGUCUUUGGGAAUUUUCAAGCAGGGAACCAGCAAGGGAGCUAUGAUCGGGGACUCAAAUCAACGAGUACACAAUUCGGAAAUCAACAAGGUGGUAAUAUCCAAAUACCACAGUCUAUAAAUCUUCAAAAUGGAAACUCCUUUCCGGUCAACUUUCAAAAUGUAAGUUUAUCUGGGGGAUGUAUACCAAACAUUCAAGGGGGAAAUACACAAUCUGGGAACUGCCAAAUACAACCAUGCAUGCCAUCUAUAGAGUUUCCCCAGCCUGGGAAUCCAUACAUGGAAUGUGUAGUACAAUUUCCAUGUUAUCAUGCAAUUAAUAAUCAAGGUGGAAAUGUUCAAGGAGCCAGUACUCAAGGAGGAAAUACCCAAGGCAUCAACACACAAGGAGGCUACAUUCAAGGUGGAAACCUUCUAGGAAGAAAUGCACAAGGAGGAAAUGUUCAAGGUGGCAAUUGCCAAGGGUUUUAUGGGCCAUAUAGUAAUAUACAAGGAGGAAAUGUUCAAGAUGGUAAUGCACAAGGAGGAAAUGCUCAAAGGGGAAAGGCUCAAGGUGGAAAUGUUCAAGGGGGAAAUGCUUAUGGUGGAAUUGCUCAAGCUGGCAAUGCUCAAGGUGGUAAUGCCCAAGGGUUUUAUGGGCCAUAUAGUAAUAUUCAAGGAGGAAAUGUUCAAGGUGGUAAUGCACGAGGAGGAAAUGCUCAAGGUGGUAAUGCUCGAGGGGGAAAUGCUCAAGGUGGGAAUGCACGAGGAGGAAAUGCUCAAGGAGGAAAUGCUCAAGGUGGUAAUGCUUAUGGUGGAAUUGCUCAAGGUGGUAAUGCCCAAGGGUUUUAUGGGCCAUAUAGUAAUGCAAAAGGAGNNNNNNNNNNNNNNNNNNNNNNNNNNNNNNNNNNNNNNNNNNNNNNNNNNNNNNNNNNNNNNNNNNNNNNNNNNNNNNNNNNNNNNNNNNNNNNNNNNNNNNNNNNNNNNNNNNNNNNNNNNNNNNNNNNNNNNNNNNNNNNNNNNNNNNNNNNNNNNNNNNNNNNNNNNNNNNNNNNNNNNNNNNNNNNNNNNNNNNNNNNNNNNNNNNNNNNNNGAAAUGCUCAAGGUGGUAAUGCUCGAGGGGGAAAUGCUCAAGGUGGGAAUGCACAAGGAGGAAAUGCUCAAGGGGGAAAUGCUUAUGGUGGAAUUGCUCAAGGUGGUAAUGCCCAAGGGUUUUAUGGGCCAUAUAGUAAUGCACAAGGAGAAAAUGUUCAAGGUGGUAAUGCACAAGGAGGAAAUGCUCAAGGUGGUAAUGCUCGAGGGGGAAAUGCUCAAGGUGGGAAUGCACAAGGUGGGAAUGCUUAUCUUGGAAUUGCUCAAGCUGGCAAUGCUCAAGGUGGUAAUGCCCAAGGGUUUUAUGGGCCAUAUAGUAAUAUUCAAGGAGGAAAUGCUCAUGGUGGAUAUGCUCAAGGUGGCAAUGCACAAGGAGGAUAUGCUCAAGAUGGCAAGGCUCAAACAGGUAAUAUCCAAGAUGAUAAUAUUCAAAGUGCAAUGUUCACAAUAAAAAUAAGCCAAAUAUUGCAUAUUGUACUUGUGCACAUUUACCAGGUUGUCCUUGGAGGUAAAUAUACAUCAGUAAGCCCAAAACAUUUGAAACACACUAUACCUCUCACGUCAAAUUUAAUAAGCAAAUACGAAAAAGAAAAAAAAUGAAAGAAAUGAACUUUAUCAUCUACAAGUUAAAAAUGAGGUUAUAAUUAUAGAAAUGCAUAAAGAUUUGACUUUUUUGAUGAUGUGGAACUAAACUUUAAUAAAAAUUAUAAAAAAAUGAUAUGACAUGUGACUUUAGUCAAAUUAAUUUUAGAGAUUAUUUAUAAUUAGGAGAAAAUUAAAAGAAUAGGUUUUUGUCAUCCAAAAUUAAAAAAAUACUAUUAUCAUGAAAAUUUAUAAAAAUUUAGUUUUUUUUAUAUUCGAUAGGCCUUAAAAUUUUAAAUAAUUAUGUGUUUAGUUAAAAUAAUUAUAAGUAGCUGAUAAUCAAUUAAUAUUUUUAGUAAAAAAUUAAAUAGCCUAUGAGUAUGUUUAUUAUUAAUUUAUAAAUUAAGAGAAACACCAUGUAACUAGAGAUUUGCAAUUCUUUUAACUUAAUUUUAAGUCACUUUAUAAUUUUAUUAAAUCCUUUAUGUAUAAAUUUAUUAAUAUAUUUAAAAUUUUAAAUUAAAUAAUAAAAAAUUAUUUUAAUUUUUAAAUAUAAAUUAUUUUCUACAUAGAAACGAAAAGCUUAUAUUUAAUAGUUAAUGUAUAAGUGAGGAAAAAUAAGUACAACACAUUUUUUCUUAUAAAGAAAUGGUACAAGGGUAAAAAAUUAAGCCUUUUAUUUAGAGCUUAUUUGAGUGAAGGAAAAUUAAUUUUUAUAGCAAUAGUUGUCUUUUUUUUUAUUUUUUAUUACUUUGAACUAUUAAAUAAACCUUUGCAAUAUUAUUCUUUUAUAAAUUUUCUAACUCUGUGAAUCACAGAAGAAUUUACAUUAUUAGAUAUAAAUGGAAAAAUGGGUUAGCUCUACCAAACUUCAUGAAUGAAAAAAAAAUAUUAUCCAUACUUAUAAAUUCAAAAUAAUAAAAAAAUAAAAUUAUUUUUAUGCUAUCAAAGAGUCUAUCUAAUUAAUUAACAAUACUUGAUAAGAACUCUAGAUCCAACUUAAGAUAGUAAAUCCUCAAUUUUAUGUAAAAGUUUGACUGUUUGAUUAAAAUAUAUGAACUUAUGAAGUCUUGUCUACUUAAAAGCAAUAAUUAAUUAUGGGUCAUGUUCAUGGAGGCUCUUUUAGUUCUGUCUAUAUAAGGAAUCAACUGUUCUCCACUUUCCAUCCCAAGUGAGAGUCCUCAAGGAAAAAAAAAAGCUUUAUUAGUUCCUAACUCCAAAAUGUCUACAGAAAAUAAGGAGCAGAAGGAGACAAAAGUACGUGUGAUCGCCAUAGCCAUUGUCACCUUAGCUUUCUUUCUUGGGACAACAAUAAGAAUAGAGCGACACCUAGUGGGUGGGGAAGGAGACAACAUCCAAUGGCUGGUUGAUUGGAUGAAAUCGCCAGAAUCCCAGAACAAGUCGAUGAAUCUUCGGUGCCAGAAAGUGAAUGACGAGUUAAGAUGCACGAGACAGCCAGAAGAAGGAAACGGUCAUGCUGAAAAUUCCAAGCAAUCUCAACGGCUUUUCCUUCGUCUGGAUGAUCUAAAAGGCGACCAAACUCAAUCGGAGAAUUCCCUUUGUUGUCGUCCUUGUAGACAUUCCUCAAGCAAAGCUUUCAUAUAUUGCUUUGUGUUUAGCCUUGAGAGAUAUAAGAUUACUUACGAAUGGCUAUUCCCAAAAACAAAGGUAAUGUCGCACUCUUCAUCUUCGCUUUGCAUGCAUGAACCAAAUUUUGAAGCAUUUUAAUCUGAUUAGUUGAACUCGAACUUAGUCUAUCUGAACUCAAACCAAAUAUUAACGCACUCACACUUUGCUUAUUUUGAAUAUUAACAUAUUUAAAUUUGACUCAUUUAGAAAAUUAUGGAGUUGUUUCAUUUGUUUAUGGCUUUUUAAUUAUUUUAGAUAAUCAAGCCAAACUUUUGAAAGUUAAGUCUUAUAUGGAAGAGUCAGGUCCAUGUAUAUGUUAUUGUUCUUUAAUUUUCGUUUGAUGAUCAACUUGUUGUUCUUUGGUCAGAUUAUAACUAUUGUUGUUCCUGUCCGGGACUGUAUAUAUCAUUCAGUAACUGAAAGAGUAACAACAAGUAAACAAAACGCAACGCACAAGUAUGAGAUUAAUAAAAUAGUGUGUGCGAGGAAGUGCACACAGAUGACUUCCUUGAGACUAUGCCAAACUGAAAAACACCAAGCUAAUACUGAAUGGAAACAAAUUGAAAAGCGUCAAAUUGAUGCCAAACUAAAAAACACCAAACUGAUGCCGACCUGAAAAGUCACGUCUUCCACAUGCAGAAAAUUUAAGCGGGAAAAUGCAUAGUUAGUUAUAAAAGUAGUUAGCAUUAUGUUGAGAAGAACCUCUAGAUCAUUCUAGUAGUUUUCGCUCUUGUAUAUAUAAGUUAACAUAGAGUAAACAAUAUACACGAGUUUUUUCUCUCUUCUAUUUUCUAUUAGUAUUGUUACUUUUUGUACAUGGUAUCAAAGCUUAACAAUCAAGCUUUUGUAGCAGCAAUGGCUAGUACCAGCGACGUGAUCCCUAUUGUGAACCAGAAGGGCCACCUCACUCUGUAUAAUUCUGAUUCUCCAGGAGCAGUGUUGGCGAGCGUACCAUUCACUGGAGAGAACUACCUGACCUGGAGCAGGUCAAGGCUGAUCGACUGUAAGCCAAGGAUAAGGUUGGCUUCGUCACAGGAAAAUACAAAAAACCUAAGGAAGACUCUCAGGAUUUUGAGCAAUGGUAGAAAGUCGACAUCAUGGUGAUUUCUUGGAUUCUUAACUCUAUUUCCAAAGAAAUCGUAGAGGCAUUUUUGUAUACUACAACUUCUCAUGAACUAUGGGAAGAGUUGGCUCAACGCUUUGGGGGCAGCAGUGGACCUCAGAUCUACCAUAUCUUGAGAGAGAUCAGCUCGUUCCCACAAGGUAACAUGAAUAUAAUGGUUUACUUUACUAAACUCAAGAAAGUCUGGGAUGAAUUAUCUUGUUUCAUACUAUUUCCUUUAUGUACUUGUGGUGCUACAAAGGAGAUGAGUGAAAUUUGUGAAAGCGACAUAUUGACCCAGUUCCUCAUGGGACUAAAUUCAUCAUAUGAUCACGUUAGAAACUAGAUCUUCCUCAUGGAUCCAUUUUCCCCGGUGAAUUGUUGCAUAUGCCAUGGUAUUGAUGGUUGAAAAAUAAAGAGAGGUUAACACCUUCACACCAAACUUGACAGAUGGUUCCAUAGUCAUGAUGGCCAAGACACAGGGUAAUAAUAGGGAGAACAUAGGCUAUAAAACAUCAUUCAAGAGAAGAGAAACAGGAAAGGAAGAUGAAAGGUUUUACGACCACUGCAAAAACACAGGGCACACCAAGGACUCUUAUUUCAAGCUAAUCGGAUAUCUUGAAUGGUUUAAAUAAAAGAAGACGAAGCAAUUUGCAAAUGUUGUAGAAGAUACUUGCAAUACCACACUUGAGGUUGAGCCAGAUAAAGCCCGUAAAGAAGAACUAAUUGCCACAAUCACCAGCACAAUUCAGUAAGAACUGAGCAGGAUGAUAAAAGGCAAAGGGCUCCACGAGGCCAACUAUGCUGAAUUUACUGAAUUUGCAGGUGAAUGCACUCAAAAUUCUUCUACUUUUCUUUGUUCCAUUAAGACUGGUAAAUGGAUCAUAGAUAAUAGUGCUAUAUUGACGAGUGUCGAAUCUAUAAAUUUAAAAUUUACUUCCUUUUUCUUAAUUGGUAAAAAUUUAUAGAUAGAGUGUUUGAGUAUCGAUGCCACAAAGACCUUAAUUCUGUUUAAUUUAAAUGACUAAUUGAAAAACUAGUUUGAUACGAAAAGUGAGAAAAAGAGAAUUUUUUAGGUUGUGCCUUGGGCACACCAAUAAAAAUAAACUUAAAAGAAAAUAAUAAUAAUAAACAAUGCAAUUGAAACUUGAGCAACAAAUAAAUAGUUAAAACUUUUAGCUGAAAGUAAUCAAAUUGAGGUAUUUUGUAGAUGAUCAUUGGUUAGAGAAAUAAUUCAUGUUAUUAUCUAUUGUUUGGUUAUAGUGGUCAAACACGCGAAUUCCAUUAAUUCUUCCUUAUGAAUAAAUUAAUCCGCUUCGCACUUAAAUUAAUUCCUAGUCAACUAACAACUCCAACACGCGUGUAGAUUUAGUUAAUCAAUUGCAUUAAGAGAGAAGAACUCAAACUUGAUCAAUAAAAAUACGUGAUUUAUUUAAAUUAAAUCUGCCAAUUUCUUAACAUAAACUAAUAUAUUAAUUGCUACUUGUUAUUAACCAGAUUAAAUAAUUACAAAUUUAAUUAGAUUAAUUAGCUAUAGAUUAUUUUUCUAAGAGAUUCAAUAGGCCUCUUGAAUUCUUAAGAAAACAACAAUGGAGGUGAUGUUCCUUGAAAUAAAAAAUUGAUAAAAAAUAGAAAUAAGAUGAAAAGAAUUGAAGUGCAUAACUUCACAACUUGAACAAAUCUCAAUUUAAUUUAACUUUCAACUGAAAAUAAUUGUUUAGCCUCUCAUAGCCAUAAUAAAAUUAUAACAAUUACAACAAUGGGGGCAACAAGAGAGGAAAUGAGAUAGAGAGGUAGAAUAUGAUGUUCUCUAGGUUUAAUGCUACGAGUCUUUAAUAGACACAAAGGAUAAAACUUAAUAGUUUAAAACAAAAUAUACUACUUCUAUCUUAUCUCUAUCAUAAUCUGAUUGAAUUUAAUUCAACUUGACCCCAUUUGAAGCUGAUCUUAUUCUUGCUUAGGUGACAAAAUCUAUCUUAUCUCUCCAUCGCCUUGGACUACAGGUUUGGUCAAGAUUAUAGCCUCCCAGUAUAAAAAAUCCUUUAAUUCAGCCUUCUUUUCUUUCAUUUUCUUAACUUCUGCUCACAACCCUAUCCAAAAUUAAAUUCAAAUUAAAAUUAAAUAUUUAUAUCAAAAUUAUAGUAAAAUCAAGGAAUUAAAUGAGGAAAAAAAAUUAUGAGUUUUGCAACUCAUCAUAUAUCUCAAACAUGUUCUUCCUUACACUUUUACAAAACACCAAGCCUGUAACUAAAUCCAUAAUUGUGUCACUAUCUAAUGUAUCGACUAAAGAGGUUAGAAGAAUUGGCGAUGUCAGACUUAAAACUAACUUGAUAUUGCAUAAUGUACUUCAUAUACCAGGUUGCAAAUACAAAGUCUUAUAUGUUCAACAACUUCUAAAAAA